rnacentral:lncRNA from 1 species
ACAUUAACUCAACCAGAGUACAACCACAACCAUAUGAACAUACAACGACCACACAUACAUACGUCCAUACAUUCACCAUUCACAACAUAACCAUAUCCAUAAUAUUAAACAUAAAUCCAGAUCUAUCAUUUGAAACGUUUCCUUCCCGGAAACAAGUUUUGAAAUACUAAGUCUCAGAAAUCCAUUGAAAGCUCCUUUUAAAACUGUUUUCCACACGGAAACCUUUAUCUUUUAAAACGCUACCACGAGGGGUAGAUAACUAUCGAAAACUGUGUCGCAUAUGAAAAUCCUUUUCUUUUUAAAACAAGCGCUACCACGAGGGGUAGAAAACCAUUUUACUUUGAAAAGCCCAUAAAUCUCUUUUUAUCACAAUACGUAAAGCCAGCGGAAAAACCAAUUACUCAAGUACAGAAUGAAACUGAACCAUAAUAAAAGUUUACUAUUUAUUCAAGCAAGGGAAAAGAGAUAAUCAAACGGGACGGAGCUCUAACGCGCGCUAGACUCGCUCCUCACCUGCCGUCCCACUCGGACCUGCGACGUCACCUGUAAUGGGGGCGGGGGGUGAGAACAUGUAAACAUGUCUCCCCUCCCAGGGCGAGGGGGGCGAGGGUACGCACCAGCAAAGGAGGCUAAACAACAGUAAGGGUAAACAACUACAGCAGCUACUAUGAUAUAAGAACAGAAAGUACAAGGAACUAAUGUACAAGUAAUGAACUACUGCUACUGUAUGUAUGCAUCAACUGGUGGAUAGUCCAAGGAUACCCAAUCUAAACCUGCCUUGUUGGUCCGGAGACCUCAGGCUAAUGCCACAAUCACUCAACCUGCAUAUACCCAGUCGUAACCUCUGAGCUCACGGGUGGACAAGCCCAACCACUUUUCCGGAAAAGAACACCCCCUGCGGUGGAUCAGACCGCUGGCGUUCGUGAAACGUGAACGAGUGGUGACGAUCGAUGCUGAGAUGCUCAAUAGCCAACCGUCGGCAACCAGCCGACAAUCACUGCCCCUCUGGGCAAACCGACCGUAUAGGUCAUCAAGUACAACGUGAACCGACUGAGAUAGGUCAAUGUACGUAAAGUAACGAACGACCAAACAGGUCACCGAUGCAACAGGAGAACCGACCAAGCGGGUCACAUGUAUAGUAUAUACUAAUGCCAUCUACUCCACCCCUACACAGAAUACUACGCAUAGGACAACCGGGCAGAGUAAAUAAAGACAGUAUGGUGCAAGGCUCAAUAUGUAAAGAGUAAGCAAUAUGACUAGACGAUGUAAAAGAUAGGGUAAAGGAAGACAUCACCGAGCGUGCACCACUGUACCGACUUCGGAUCGAAGUACCCACCUGUAUAAAGCUGAAACGGUCUCGCGAAGGCGGAGACGAAGCGACCGGACCUACGAAGGGUCCACCGGGUUAGAGUCUAACCCACAAACACAAUAACACGACCAUUCUCACACAAAUCCCAAAAUCAUAACCCCUCGAAAAUCGGUUUCUCAAACGCAACUACUGAACCAGCCGGAAGUCCCGAAAACCGUACCGAAACUCCACCGUCGCUCACCCGUCGUUUCCAAACCCUCGAGAAGAUGCGGGUGACCAGCCAACAAGGCUCAGCGACGCUACAAUUAACCACGAGGCACCGUCGGAUGAAUUCCGAGUCGAAAACGCGUUCUAUCGGCGGAUUUCGUCGAAAAAACGCUCACGGAAAUGGCGAUAUGAAUUUCCGCAGUAUUAUUGGGCGUCUUGACGAUCAGUCCAGAAGUUGUCCUGACCCCUAACUCUGCUGCCGAACAGCAGCCACGACGAAGCGAGAAUGCAGAAAGAUACCUCUAACGGAACAUGUAAAUCAAUAUUGUUUGUGAUUUCCAUGCUCCAAGGGUCGUCACCAGCAAACCAGGGAUUACGGAAGGGAUGCCAUCGACACCUUGUUUUGCUAGGUUUCAGCAUGCCUGGGGCCGUGAAUACCUUUCGGAGCACUGCCGGGGCCAACAACUCGCCGCGCUACCGAGCGAGGCGCGAACACAGCGAACCGAGCGCGCAUCAGCGCGAAGAUCACAACAUUACCAACUAACCAGGCACGUAACCUAACAAUGGAGUGAGCAUACAUGUUAGCACGACCCCACGAUCUCGUGCUGCACGCUCGCGCGAGUGCCAGGAGUCAUCGGAUCACUCGAAAAAGUGAUCGAACACAAAACGUAUGCUGGAAACCGAUAAAUGGCUAUACAGCCCGAGAGCAAGUGGAGCUAUGGAUGGCCGGCCGCGGAUUCGGCGCGGCGCUCCGGCCCGGAGUCUGGAGCAGCCGACGGUAAAAGUCCGGGGGAGGUGCUGGUGCCGCCGGCGAGGCAGCAGCCGGUGGCGGCGGCGGGGAGGAUCGGCGCCGCAGACGUUCCCAGCUCGGGUUGGAGGCUUGCCGCCGGCGAGGCGCGCGCCGGGGGAGGUCGAGGCGGCCGAUGCAUUCGUGCCGGAGACCGAGAGGAGUGGUGCUCGGCUAACAAGCCCUCUCCAGCACAAGGCUAGCCGGUGAUGAGGUGGUCCAAGAGAGGAGGAAAAUUGGCUGCGCUUGUUUCCGGCCGGGCCGGGGCUGCUCGGCGGCGGCCGGAACGCGAGCACUGGCGGGGGCAGGGAGGUGCCUGGCCGUGACAGGGGCGGGCCUGGGGUCAAGCUGGGGGGUUCUAGGUUGGUUAGCAGUUCACGAGAACCCUAGGUCAACGCUAUAUAUGGUCGCUCACAGCGACUGUCUUGUGGCGAAAAACCCCUGUCAAGGACUGAAACCUGUUUAAACCAGACUCCCUGGGCCAGCACGAGUGCUUUAAUGCACCGACAGUGACCGCUCCGAGUUCGAAAACUCGCAAAUCGACUGCAUAAAAUAUCGGUCUUUUCUCGCGAAAUAAUCCGAUUAACUCAAUCAUCGCCUUGCGAAUACUUUUGUCGAGUUCCGAAGAUUUCCGUACCGUCGGGAUUUCCGAUCGUAUCAUCAGCAGCGCGAUCAGCACGAAGCCAGCAUGGCACGAAUCUCGCAUCUCAUUUCGGACAUUCCGAAAUUAGGGUUCCCAAGUUGCGGACACGAAUCACAUCUCCUAUGUUGCCAAAAGACAAAAAUCAUAUAGACAAACUAUAUGUUAGAAACGCAUUUAAACCCUUUUCUUCUAAAACCUACGUGGCAUCAAUUUCAAUUCCGUCAGUGCCAUUGGGUCCGUAUAGUGAGGCGGUUGAAAACGAGCUAUUGGAAGGCUAUAUUCGGAGUCCGAUACGCGUCGAAAGUCCACUCUACUCCGCGGCCUCUCCGAAAAAUCGGAGUUACUAUUCACUUAAGUCAAACUUCCGGGUCGCGUAACUUCUCCGUUUUAACUCGUUUUCUCCUGAAAUUUGACGAGUACACUUAUAAUUAUAUUACACACAAGAACAUCGUCAAACAAAAGGGUUUAAUCAAUAAAUCAAAAAUCUCAGUUAUUACAUGUAAUUUCUAAUUUCUAUAAGGAAGAAUCCAAAACCUCUAUAAAUGAGUGAAGGAUCACUCCAUAAUCAACAAUAGGUUCGCCAUCAAAAUCUAGAUCCAAAAAUUUAAGAAGCUUAAUUAUCCAAAAAUCUGAGCUAAACUCACAUUCCAAGUUGCAAUUCAGGUGAUAGACAGGUUCAAAACCAGUGGAGGAUUUCAAAAAUCCAGCUCCCAAGGCAUUCGAAUCCAAAAACAUUAAGAAAAUCUCAAUCUCAGCUCAACAACACCAAAAUCCUAAGAAAACAACAAUUUGAUCAUACUAACCUCAAUUGCUUGCUGUUAAAUUGGUUCCACACACUCUCCAACAAGUCCACAAUCCACAAAAUCCUUCUUCACAGCAAUUGGAGGCUCCCACAAAGCACACUUCCAAACACUAUCCAAAUUGCUGCUGGAAAUUUGCAGAAAUUCCAAGUCCUCAAUGCCAAAAGUAAAUAUUUGAAGGAUUGGAGGGGUUAAAAUGCAAAAUUACAAUCUCUCUGUGAAGAAGAGAUGAAAAGAACUCUCAGUUGACGUCCAAAUCUUUUUAUAGAAGUAUAGGCUAUGUGCAAUAAGCCUCAAGAACAACCUUUGCUAACCUAUACUGCUACAGGAAACCCCAGAUUCGGGCGCCCAGAACCCAGAACUGGGCACCCAGAACUUCCAACUUGCAUAACUCAGUCCUUUGGGUUCUCAGUCCGGCGGUCUAGUGCGCCCUAAUGUGGUCCGGUGGACCUCACCUACCACAGCACAUGUGUCAAAAGGAUCGACAUUCACGAAGUGAACUUUCGGGCCCAACUUCCGGAUGCCUUAAAUAGGGCAUGAAAUGACUUCAGUAUCUAAUACAAAACAACCCUCAGGAUCUUGGCGCCCUAAACCACUUCUGGAUGCCCUAAACCGCCAGAACUUCAGUUUUGGCUUAUUUCAGUGCGUUGAAUCAGUUUUCGCAUCCAUUUCGUGCUAAAACGACUCCGACUCGUCCCGACAUUCUACAGAUGUGUCGACUAGUCGCUGAUACUGUAGUCAUUCCGAUCGCUAAAUCCCAGGGAUACUACAACCGCAUUAUGCGAGUCCCUAUAGUAGUUAUUUAUAAUUAGAUAUAACUAGCAACAAAUUUGUUUAAAACUCUUAAUCAACUUAUUUUUUAUAUAAUACAAUAAUUUAUAGUUACAAAAAUAAUAUUGACAAUUUUAAAAAAACAUCCAUAAUAUUAUGAUGUUGAGCAAUCAAGGGGCAUGCUUGAAAUUUCCUCAAAAUUGUAAUAAGGUAGAGAACUAACCAAACAAGCAAUGGAUAGUAUAUAAAUAUACAAAAACUUAAAUCCCUUGUUAUUAAAGAUGCUUAAAGAAAAUGGGAAUUGAAAAGCUAUAUGUUAUGAUGAUAUUCCGAAAUUUAGGGCAUGUUUGGUUGUCCGAAAGUGAUCAAAGUAAAAAAAAUCAUUUUUCAAAAAAUGACUUUUUAUAAAAGUUACUUUUGAGUUCAAGUGUUUGGUUUCAAAAAAGUGAAAGAAAAAAAUACAGUUUUUAUGACUUCUAUUAUUUGGUUCUAUAUAAGAAAAUGAAAAAAUAAAAUAAGGCACGUUUCUUUCUUUAUUUUUUUUAAAAAAUAUGUUGUUUUUUUUUUUUUAAGAUAUGGUGGUUUUUUUUAUUUUUUAUUUUUUGUAGAUGAUAUGGAAGAAGGCUUUUGGAUACAGUUCGUAAGUCGCGUGGAGGGAGGCGGCCUACUUUCAACGACUUCGAAAUUUUUUUUGCCAAAGUCAAAAAAGUGGAUUUUAGUUAUAAUCCACUUAAUGAUUCACUUUUCAAAAAUCACUUAUAUGUUUACUUUUAUAAUCCAAACAACCGAAAUAAUCCUAUUUCGUCAAAAUAUUACUUUUAUUGUUUCACUUACGGGCAACCAAACGUGACCUUAGAUGCUAAAAAGAAAAGAAAAAAUAUAUGAUAGAAAAGUAUGUAAGGACAACAUGACGAAAACAUAAUCAUGAGGGUACAAGAGUAAACCAUCUAAAGUCAAAGUACUAAGUUGUCACGCCCCGGGACCGCUACCCAUUUGGUCGGGUUCGGGCACGUCGAACAGACGCCGAACGGACAGCACCUUCCCUGUCCGCCCAAGACUCAAGCACGGGAUCAUGUACAAGAAUUCGCCCAGGAACAAUUCAAUACAUACAUGAUCCAUACAACGACAAUAGAAGCACCACAAGUGCAUAACAACAAGAGCAAGUAACACAAGUAUCUAUAUAAGUGCAUAAAAAGAGAGAGUUCUAUCUAUUACAUCAUGAUUUGAACAUUUAUACAAUUUACAUGUUUGUUUCAUCCAAAAUAUAGGUACAAGUUUAUUCACAUCUCUCCAAAAUGCAUCUCACAACCUAUACAUCAUCUACUCUCAUAUGUGUAGGCACCUCUAAUGCAACUGGAGGGAUACUAAUGCUAGGGCGCUAAGCCCUUACCGUGAUUCUCGCCCGGAGCACUCGUACUCGGCCCUGCAACAAAGUGGGGUGAGAACUAUUGUCCAUAGUUUCCAGUGGGUUCGGCAGCCGACUCCGCCGAUCUCCCCACUAGGUCCAAGUGGGCACAAACAGAUAGAUAGAUAGAUAGAUAUCAAAGCUAAAAAUACGAUAGUAGGAAAACUAUGCUACUAUGCCCAAUCAUCAAUAAUAUAUGCAUGCAUCAUAUAGUAAAUGGUUUACUAACAUGCCACUAUGUCCAAGAAGUAAUGUACUUUACUUGUUCAUCAAUUCUUUUGGCUUAUUCAAUCCUUGGCCAACCCUCAGGUUCGCCCACGACUCACAUGCAUCUCAUGGUAAGGAAACUCAACUCGUUCACAAACCCGAGACCGUCGCGGGACCCCAUAAGGAUAUCCCAGGGACCCCAUAAGGCUAUCCCUCAUGUGACAAAACUCCGGAGCGCACGCUUGUGUGGAGCGACCACCACUAGCUCUGAACAGACAGUGAGUAUGAUCCAAUCCUCUCAACUCGAGGAUACCCUAUCCACUAGGGCUAACAGUCACUCGGGAAUCCACCUAUCCCAAUGUCCAUAUGCAAGUGUUUAAUUUACACUAAGUUUUUAUUCAAUGACUCAUCACUAGGGAAUCCACCUAUCCCUAAGUUCACAUGUUAAGUGUCACUUUUACACUAAGUUAUAUGCCACUCGUUCUAUUGUCAUUGUUAUUUACAUGCCACUCGUUAUGUCUUAUCAACCAUCGAGUCCAUCUUUUAUCUCAGCACUAUAGGAUUCAAUGUCUCGACCCAAUCCUUAUCUAUCCACUAUAUCAAGUAUUCAACUCACACUAUGAUAUCAUCUAGGAAAGCAUAAGGAAAUGAAAAUGCACAUUUAUCCUACAAUGCAUAUAUACAAGAGAUGCAAGAUUUAAAAUACACUAAGACAUAAAGAGGAGCCUGGUUGCUUCGGGAUGACACCACCCACCUUCUGGCGUUGUCACAACUCUAGGAAUGAAGUUCGCCGAUUUUACGACGUCGUCUCGGCCUCCUAGGCACAAACAAAACUCGGAAAGUCCCUUUCGCCAAUAACUUUGCACCCGCUCGACGAAUCGUCGAACCGUCUUCGCCUACGCGUUUAAACACCUAGCAAUUAGGUUUACACUUGAUCAAUUUAGAUCAAUAGCCAACAAAUCACGAAACCCCAUUUUUGGAGCCCUAACUUGCAAUCAUGCAAGAAUCAAACUCUAAAUCCUCAAACUCAUGCAUAAAGCAUCUCCUUAGCAUGCUAGGGUUCUAUUUAAACCAAUUCUAGAGUAUAAAGUCCAAACCCUAGAAGUUCACCAUGAUUGAGCUUCAAGCUUACCUCCAAAAGCUAGCUCCAAGGUGUAGAGAAAGGAGAAGAAGAUGAAGAUCCUUCUCCUUGAUUGAUUCUCCGCCAAAACCCUUCUCUUCUUCACCUUCUAGAGAGAGAGGAAGAGAGUAUAGAGAGAGAGAGGGAGUUAGGUUUGUGUUUGGGGAAGAAAAUGAGAAGAGAGAGAGAGAGCUCACUCUCAUAUAGCCCCAACUCAUGCUACAAUUGCAUAAAAACCCCUCAACUUUGCCUUCAUGACACAGCCCAUCUUGGGCAAUUUCGGGCUACGGGGACCGGUCUCUCCCUACUAGGGACCGGUCCCUGAGGACCUCCCCAAAUCCACGCGUUCGGGAAUCGGUCCCUCUGGCCCGGGGACCGGUUGCAUCACGCAUCACCGCAACCACCAGCCGAUGGAACCGGUUUCUCCCUGCCAGGGACCGGUCCCCGAGAGCAAACCCGCGCAGACCAUAUUCGAGAACCGGUCCCUCCCGCCAGGGACCAGUCCCGGAGAGCAAAUCUGCCAAGUGCAGGUUUUUCACAUCAUUUGCUCUCGCAGACUCCAUUCCAAUGCACCUUUGGCCAUUUUGAUGCCUUCGGCUUUUUCGAAGCACACAAGUCGACAAUCAGUCGAUUUUAACCGAAGUCCAACUCUCGUAUUUCGAGAAUUUACUUCCUUACAUAAAUGAUUUUAUAAGCUUAUAAUAGAAAAUAACUAAAUAAAAUUAAGAAGCAAAACAAAAAAUAGUAUAAAAUCAGUUCGGUUUCGUUCGGAAUAAAUCCGCUGAUAUCUACUAAACUUAUUAGCGUAAAUGAAAAUAGAACAUCCACAUGGCAUUAUUGAUUUAUCACCUAUUUGGAUAAAAAAAAAACUAGUUUUUUUGAAAAACUUUGUUUUUCAGAUUUCAUAAAAGCUAGUGAUUUAGUUUUACAUUUCGUUUUUUCAGAAAAACCUACUAGUUUUCUAUAAAAUAUAAAAAAAUAAAUAAAAUAUGCUAAUUUUUUUCGAAACUGAAUAGGCGAAAACUAGAAAAAAAAAAGUUCAUGAAAAAUUUUCAUACUUUUCAGAGGAAAGCAAUUAGCCUCUCAAAGAUUAUAUGUCGAAAAAUUAUAAAAUUUAGUUUCUAAAUACUUUCAAUAGUGUAGAUCAAGUCUAACGGAGCCGAUCGUCAAUUUGGAAGCUACAUAAUUAAAAAUAACUUGGUAGCACGGAGGCCUCCGUGCUACCAAUAGUAUACCAGCCUAGCUUUAUAUAUAUAUAUAAGAUAAUCGUAUUGAUGAUAUUUUGAUGUAGGUUUAAAGUGAUCAUAGGUUUUUUUUUUAGAGAAAGAUAGCAUGCUAUCCGCUUCGUUUAUUUUCUUUAGAAAUAAACUUAUUUGGAAAUAUGAAUCAACUAAGAUUCAAAUUUGGAACUCGGGUAUCAACCACCAACUCUUUGCCACUUGCGUUAGGGACCGAUAAAAAUGAACCCAACAUUCAAAGAUUUUUCCAUAUAUCGUUUUUGGCAAAAUUUUAGGAAGAUAACAUAAGAAUUUCUUAGUUGUCCCUUGGCCAAUUUGUUCAUUGCAUAGUCCUUGAUGAUGAUGGUUUUAUCUUAUCUAUGUACAAAUCCGCAACGCGCACACUUGGUUAUUGACUAUAGAGUCCUAUAAAAUCACUGCUAAAGAGAGGAGACUAUCUCACUGCUUUCUCUCUUUUUCAUAAAGUACCCAGCCUUGUGAUAGUACAGUUGAAUAAAGAGAGAGAAAUUUUCUAUAAAAAGAUUCAUGAAAAAGAAAGUCAAAUUUUGUUUUGGAUGAUCGGAAUUACAAAUUAUUAAUCAAUACCACUAAAUUUGAUGUAGACUAAUUGAAAUGUUUAUAAACAAGAUUUCUGUAAGGUUUAAACCCUAAACUCUAAAAUCCUAAACCAUUACAAAAUUUAUCAAAGAGCCCCAAAAUGAAUGACCAAAAAUAAAUAACUUACACAAAAAAAAAGUUAAACAUUCUCAAUUGGAGAUCAAAAUUUUUAAAUGUUAUCUAAAAAAAAAACAACAAAUAUUCAGGCUAUUUGUAAAUGUGUAAACAAUCCAUAUAAGCCAAUAAAAAUUAUCUAUUCUUUUUUUUUUUUUUUAUAUUUCACCUACAGUUUCUAGUGCAAGUAACAAAACACUUGAUGAUUGGAAUCUGAAUUUCUAAAUUCGAUAUUUUAUUACUUUAUAUUUCCAAUUAGAUCCAUUUCUUUUAAAAAUAGGGCCCGAAAGCAUCCACAAAACAAUAAUAUAUAUAAAAAAAAAAAAGUAGAAAGUCGAUUUUAAGGGACCCAAAAUUUACAAAAUCCAAAGCUAAGAUCUUUAGGUGCUUGCUCAACCACUCUGUUAUCAAUGCAACCACUUAGCCCACCUCUUUUAAGCUAAUUAGUUUACAACUAUAGCUGCAACACGACGUAUAAUCUAUGGCCUUUCCUUUAGCUACUAUCUUAUCCCUAACAACUACUAGCCACAUCUUUUUCAAAGUACUUAAUUUUAAACAUUAAUAUUUUGCUAUUGCUAUUGUAUCCCUUUAUUUUGAGAUUGUAUCCUUUCUCACUUGGGUGUACCUUGUCCUUAGGCAGUAUUUGGUUGGGGAACAAGGGAGAAAUAAUCCUUGUUUUCCCCUUGUUCCUAAAGAAAAAUUUGCAUACCUAAGAUGUAACGACCGAGCCCACUAGCAAACGAAAAUUUGCGUACCUAAGAUGUAACGACCCAGCCCACUAGCAAUAAUAACUCGUUGGGCCCAACCACCGGCCCAAAAUACUUAAGCCCAGUUAUUAUUACAAGUGUCUAACUCUCUUAUAAACCCAAUGACAACCCCAUUUCCAUCCGAUGUGGGAUUAUACCCUGGCUCAGUCGAGACUCGCCACACAUGUCCAGCUGGUGAACCGGCUCUGAUACCAAAUGUAACGACCCACUAGCAAUAAUAACUCGUUGGGCCAAACCACCGGCCCAAAAUACUUAAGCCAGUUAUUCUUACAAGUAUCUAAGUCUCUUAUAAACCCAAUGACAAUCCCAUUCCCAUCCGAUGUGGGAUUAUUGGGGUGUCACAGACUCCCCCGUUAAGGUCCUGACGUCCUCGUCAGUCCAAUCACACACACAGCCCAAGAUCACCAGGCGAUGUGAGACUCGUCUCGCUAGCCCGUCAUCCAGACCCUGGCUCAGCCGAGACUCACCACACAUGUCCAGCUGGUUAGCCGGCUCUGAUACCAAAUAUAACGACCCAGCCAACUAACAAUAAUAACUCGUUGGGCCCAACCACUAGCCCAAAAUGCUUAAGCCUAGUUAUUAUUACUAGUGUCUAAGUCUCUUAUAAACCCAAUGACAAUUCCAUUCCCAUCCGGUGUGGGAUUAUUGGAGUGUCACAUAAGAAUAAUAGUUAUUGGAUUUUUGAAAUAAAUUGAUAUAACUCAGUACAAAGCUAGAACAGCCGUUCCACCUUUUUUUGGAACAAGCUUGUUCCCAAGUGGAAAAAAGAUUAAUUAAAGCCUAAAUUUAAUUAUAAUUAUGAUAUUAAAUCAUUAAUUAAUUUAAUUUAUAUAUUGAAAUUAUUAUUUAUUGCUUAAAUAAUAAAGUAAUUAAUUAAUUUAUUACUUGUAAUUAAUUAGCUAAUUAAUUAUUAAUAAUUUAAUAUAUUUAUCUAUAAACUAAUAUUUAUGUUGAUGAACCAUUAAUAUUUUUAUUAAUCUAAUUAUUUUUUUACUAGUUAUCUAACUAAAAUAAUUUACUAACUAAUUAAAAAGUUAAAUUAUUUUUUAUAAUUUAAUUAAUUAAUUAAUAUAUUUUAUUAUCUUAUACAAUAUUCAUAAUUAAUAAAUUUUUUAAUUUAUUAAAUUAAUUUUAAGUAAUAUUUUUAUGUUAAUUAAUUAGAUAACAUAAUUUUAAUUUAAAAUUAUGACUCUUAUUUCUCUUGUUUAUCUUAUUCACAGGAAGAAUUCAAUUUUCAUCCAAAUACUUACACCUGAAUUUGUAGCUAUUUCUGAAAUAAACAGUUCUCACUUAUAGCCGAACCAAAACGCAGCCUUAGUUUAAGAACUAUUUUGGUAUUUUAAAAGAAUUACUUAAGAUUAAACCAUGGCCCCUUUUUGUGUUUUAUUUUCACAUUUCCAAACGCACAAUAAAUAAUGUGUCGUGCUUUUUGGCCCAAAAAAAGCUGGGGCAAACGGCUGCUUAGACUAGAGAUCUAUUUCUUGCUUAAACUAACUGGCAAAAGUUCAAAAGUUGGGAAAAAGUUUCAAUGAAAUUAACUUGGGCAAAUGUUUACAUUCACUCGAACGACGUAUUUACAAACAAAUAGGAUUAAGGCUUGGUCAUGCUAGACCUAUAUAUGUAGAAAAUUCUCGUCCAAUGUUGCAAAUUUCCAAUGUGUAAUGCUGCUUGGAAGGGAUAAUAAUCCUUUCUCGAGUUCAGACGUUAUCAAAUCCUUAAGGACAAGACAAGCCCAAGUUAAAGUUUAGAGAUAUAAUAGAAAAAAUGUUUAAGUUUCAAACUAAAGUGUGAUUAUUAUUUGUUGGGAAGAAGGUAGUAGCUAAGAGAAAGGCGAUGGAAACAAAAACUUAAUUUAGUUUAAUUUUUCAUUUUUUUAAACGUUUGUGGAAAUAUCAUGAGGCACUGAAAGAGGAAUUGUAGGUACAAACUAGUUAGCUUAAAAGAAGUAGCGCAAGUAAAUACAGUGAUAAUUAAAAGAGUAGCUGAGGUAGUAAGUACGUAGGUCCAUAAGAUAUUAGGUAUCAUUUGGUCCCUGGAGUUUAGGGAUAUUUAAGUUGUACUUUAAUCCAUGAAAUGAAGUCAAGGGUAAUGGAAUUCCUCUAUUAUUAUCUCUCUUGAUUUUCUUCUUAAUUAGUGCCUAAUCUAACUACAAUGGACAGCACAUUUGACUCCGAGAAGGGUACUCGAAGGGUGGUGCAAAUAUACACACUAAUUAAUUAUUUUAAGAGAGGUCCUACAAGUAGUUGCAAACGUUUGAGUAGCAGCUAAGAGAGAAUAACUAUGCAGUUAAUUAGAGAUUAGUAGCUUCAGUUGGACAAAGUUUUGGUGUUAUCAAGCGUUUUGAUUGCAGGCUAUAUAUUUUUAAGUACCUUGAAAAAGAAAAGUGCUAUUUAAAUUGUACUCAAUGUCAUGAAAGAGGGGGGAAUGAGUACUUGAACUCCACCUCUUUCCUUUUCUCUCUACUCUUCUGUUUCAUUCUCUCUCUUUAUUAUAUUCUUCUCUAAAGUCAAGUUUCAUCAUGAGUGCACAAAAGUUCCCUAAGCCUUUACCAAGAUGAAAAUGCUGUUGACUUGAAGCAUGUGUUUGCAAUCCCAAGUAACGAAGAAACUAAGGUUUUAUCUACGUGACAGCAUUUUAAGAGAGAGAGAAAAUUUGAUUGAUGGAAAAUUUUUCAAGUCGGUUAGAUAGUAAUUGGAAAAUAUUGCAAAAUCUAUAUAUGCUAACCAAAGAAAUCGAUGAAUAAGUAUCUAAGCAUAUACUUGUGUGGUAUAUCUUUAAUUUGAACAGCCAACGGAGAUUGUUUAAACGAGAACUACACCAAGCAAAAAAUUUUGAAGACUAGAGAAUAACAUGCUUCUUGCAAAAUAAUAAGAGUGGUAGUUUUGACGAUGAAACAUAUAAGUAAUGCUGCUCGGAAGGAAAUAAGAUCGAAUUCUAUCUCAAGUUGCGAUCUUACCGUUGUCUCUAACACCCCAUUUGGUUCGGGAAUAAGGUGAGGGAUAAUCUCUUACCCCCCUUUAUACCCAAACGUUAUUUUUUGUACUCGAGAAUAGUAGUUUUCAGAUAACUGGAAUAAACUACAGGAAACUUAAUAUUUAACGAAAGGAAAAAUCGUCGUUAAUAUUCGAAAUUACGUCGUUAAUAAUAUAUAGUGAUGAAAAAAUAUCUCGUCGUCACCCGUCGUUAUAGCCUUUCACGUUAAAAGAAUUAACGAUGGAAUAAAAAAAUCGGUCGUUAUAUAUUUCAACGACGGAGUAAGUUACCGUCAUUAAUUAUUAUUCAUUAGUAACCAUACGUUGUAGCAAUAGCGACCUAUUUUUCAUCGCUACAAAGCUUAAUUAUGCGAAAGUUUAUGGGUUUAACGACCAAUAAAUUCGUCGCUAUUAAGCUUAGUUAUGUAAGCUUUGUAAGUUUAACGACCAAUACAUUCGUCGCCAAUAAUUAGAUUAUUGUGAGCUAAGUAAACAAUAACGACUAAGAUUGUCGUCGCUAAAAGUUAGUGUUUUGAAUAGCACAGAGUCGUAACGACCAACAUUUUGGUCGCUAAAAAAUAUAUAAUAUGCAUUAUACAAUUGAAUUACUUUUUUUGUGUUUCUACAUGUGAUUUACCAAAUUAAAACAUAUUGACAAAUACAAGUUAGAAGACAUUCACAUUCAGUUUAAAAAGCAUUCACAUACAAUAUGAUUCACUAAUUUAUCAAAACAACCAUAAAAAGUACUUUCAUCGAACAUCAUCCAUCAUUUUUAAUUUAAUUACUACAAGUCCACAUAUGUAGUUGCCCAAAAGUUUACUAAAUUAAAAGUAAAUACCCCAAAAUAAGGGAAAAUGACAAUUAAACAAGAUGACAAAAAGUUGUCAUAUAUGUUCCGUUGAGUUUUGAAGCAAAAACAAAAAAACAUAGGAAAUCUAGCUAAUAGAUCUGUUGGCUUCAAGUCCCCUCUGCUCAACAUCUUUUGCUAUCUACAAAAAAAAAAGUAAACAUUAUUAUAAUAUUAAUAGAGUAAGAUAAAAAUAUUUGAAACUAAAUGAAGACAUAGUUUGGAGAAUACUACUAACAAAGCUAAGAUGGUAUUUCCUGCUCUUCAGAUCGAGACGGUGGUGGAGGAGCAUUGAAUUGUUGUUGUAACAUUUCCUUAAUUGCUUGAAGUUCAACCUCUGUAACGUAUCGAAACCCAAAAACGAUAAUCGAACUUUAAUCAAAUUGGUUAAAGUGUCGAGAGAAAUGGAUUGGUGAGUUUCAUUUUUGCAUUCCAACAAGGUUGGAAGGGCAAAUAUGAGUUUAAGAAGUGUUGGAAUGGUAUUGGCAUCGAACGGCGCGAAGUAGAGUCGAAACGAUGGAAAAACAGCAUUCUGGAGCAUUGUGUACCGGUACGCCAUGAUGGCUGUACCGGUACAGCAAGCGACCCGAGCACAGGUUGCUCUCGGGUUUGAGUCUGCGCGAAGGUGUACCGGUACGGGACCCGUGUACCGGUACACAAGCUGCGAAACCGAGAGACCUUGCUCUCGGGUUUGGACUUAUGCGCAGGCCUGUACCGAUACACAAACCCGUGUACCGGUACACAGGGGCUCUGGCAGCAGGGGUGAAGUCUGCUACAGAAUUAAGUUGAGGGGCCUAUUUGCAAAUGUCACAACAUGAUAUUUGGCCCACCCCUCUCCCAUUUUCACAGCAAAACCCCUCUCCUCUCCUCUCCCUCUCAUUUCCUCUCUUUCUCUCUCUAAAAGCUUGGGCUAGGGUUUGGGAAAGAAGAAGAAGAAGCAAGGAGGAGAAGAAGAAGAGCUUGGAGAGGAUCUUGUGGCUCUCCAACAAGGUGGACUUGGGUGAGCUCGUGGCAAGGGUGAGUCCUUUUGCUCAUAGAACUCUAGGGUUUGGUUUUAGACCAUGGAUUUUGGGAUUUUGAUCCUCUAAUUAUCCUAGAAACCCUCUAAAGGCAUUGGAACACAUGGAAACUUGAGUUCUUCAUGGUGCUCCCAUGGUGGAUCACUAGGGCACCAAGUGGAUGCCCUAGGGAUGAGUAGAAAGGCUUUGUGAUGGUAUUAGAGAACUUCUUGGUUGAUUCUAAGCCAUUUUUAGCUUAGGAAUGAGAUCAAUCCAAGAGCAAACCAUAUAGGGCUUGGUUAGGGUUCAAAUUUGGGGCUUUUGCCCUAGGAUUUUUCGGGAACAAAUUGAACCCGUAGAAACCUAAUUGGGGGUGUCCUAAACGCGUAGGACAACUCCGUUUGAGGAUGCGAAAAUGUUUAAAUAUAGUUCAUGUAUAAAGGGGCUAAUUUAGCACUAUUUGGGUUUUAGGGCGCAAAGUUCGGCGUUCGUAACAUUCGGGAGACAUCGUAAUCUUCAUCCACUACCUCAUUAAGGUGGGUAGUGCAUUCCAAGGACAUCGAAAAUCCCUUUAUGUCUAAAGCGUCAUAUUUGAGCAUAUGUAUUUAUAUUGUGCAUGUUGCAUAGUAGGGUUAAUUGUAAAUUUCCUUUGCAUAAUAUGAGUUCUAAUGCUUGAGAAAUAGUAGUAAAUGAAUGAGAAUUGGUAACCCUAUAUAUGCACGAUAAGGGACAAGAACCUAGAAGGGUUAGUAAACAAAUGUGACAUAUUGACAUAGACAUAGAGUGUGGCAUGAGUACAAGAACAUAGCACUUAGAAAACAAAUGUGGCAUCAAUGACAAAGAACAAGAACAAGUAGUGUACAUGAGAUGCAAGUAAAUUGGGUUAGUGACAUUAUGACAUAUACACCUUAAAGUUAAGGGUCAUAUGAACAUGGUUCUCCUUGCAGUCAAGGAAUGGAUUGAACUUGGAGUCCUUAAAGUUAAGGAUUGAUCGUACUCACCUAAUAGUCCUUGCUCGAGGGCGGUAGCUCCCCCUCGGGUGAUGUGCUCCGGAGUUGUCAUUACUGGAUCGUAGCGGUUAUCUCCCUAGAGGAUGGUCCCGUCGGGUCGUAGGGGUUAUCUCCCCGAUAAUAGGGAUUUGGGUUGGUGAGUUUGUGAGGGCGAAACCUACGGGCUAGCCAUGAGAUUGAGUAAUGAAAAGUUAAUCUUGCAUUCAUCAUGAGCAUUCUAUCGAGCAUAGUUUUAUUUAUCGUUCAGGCAUAUUAGCUGCAUUUGUUAGUUGGUUAUUAUCUAUUCUUUCUUCUAUUAUGCCUGAUUAGACCUAGUGGGAUAGUCGGCGUGGUUGGUUGCCGAACCCAUUGGAAACUUUGUUGUAGUUCUCACCCCACUAUUUCCACAGAGCCGGGACCGAGCGAGCCGGUAGAUGAUCGCGGUAAGGGCAUCGCGCCCUAAGUAGAGACCGCCCGAGAUGGAUUUCAUUUUGUAGUUGCACACCCUUUACUAUCAUAUUUUGUAUUUGAUGAUUUUAGUAUUAUGAACUUGCUUUAAUGAAUGAUGUAAAGAAUAUUUACUUUAAAUGUCAAAAGUUACAUUUUGGGAGAAAUGAGAUGUAAAAAGAAAUGAUGCAAGAAUGUAACAGAACUUGAUUAUAGUUGGAUACAUGUAUGUGAUUUAAAUUUAGUCAUAUUACUUGUAUAUUGAAUUGCUAAUUCUUUCACCUUGGCUAUUGCUUGCCCUCGUGCAAGCCAUUGUGUAUGCUUCCGCUUAUACAAAUUUGUACUCUAUUGAUACUAGUGUUGAGCCUUGGGCGGACAGGGGAAACUCUGUCCGUUCGGCGUCUGUUUGACGCUCUCGAACCGGCCAAAAGGGAUCGGGCUCGGGGCGUGACAACCUCCAUUCCAUCUAUGCGACUUUUAAGUGACUCAUUUUCCUUAUGAGUCUCACAAAGUUUAGCAUGAAGUUCCGCUCUCGAAGAAGAAGAAGGUUUCAAAUCAGUUGAUUUUACACCCCCUCCGAAACAAACCACAUGAUUACGACAUUGAGAUCCAAAGCAUUUUUCAAUAAGUUCUAUAUUGGAAAAUGUUGGAUUUGAUUGCGACGCCACAAGGAUUUCAUCCUUCAAAAUGUAAAUAACAAAACAAAUAAAAUGAGAUAACAAAAGGAGAUAAAUUAUAAUAAACUAAAUGUAAAGAACUUACAUAUUUCUUAAUAGUAUCUUCUCCUUCUAGUUGUCCACCUUUCUUUCUAGUCUCAUAAAAUAUUGUUGCCAAACUUGGCGGUUUAUCAUAUUUUUCUCCCUAUGCAAAAUAUAAAUUAGGUUCAACCAAUGCCGAUAGUUGAAUAUAGAAGUAUGAUAUUUACUUGCUAGUACCUUUUUCCAAAUAAUUUGUCUAAAAGGCCUACUACCCGUGCGAUGUGGCAUUGAUAACUUUGCCCUAUUUUCUGAGUUUCUUUUACUUAUCGCCUACAUUUUCAUCCAUUUUAACUUGAUCUAAGUAGAAAUAGAGGAUGAAAAAAAAUAAAAAAUGAACAUACUAAAAACUUUUCACUAAAAAGAAUGCAUAGUUAAAAAAAAUAAAUUAGCAUAUUCUUGUAUCAUUAUGAUAAGGAAAAACAACAUACCAAAAAUUUUUCACUAAAAAAAUGUUCUUUGACAAGCCACUCCCAAUUCUCUCGAUCAACACCGGGAGGAAGACUUUUUAGAGCAUCUUGUAUGGUCUUGCAAGGCUUUCUAAAUUUACGAUGCAAAUCUCCUCGCCAUUUGUUCCACAAUUCAUUCAUAUGUUCUAAAGUUUCAUCACGAUAUGCUUCUAUUUGCUUAUUUUGAAAUUUGUCCUGCAAAUAUAAAAUUGUAAUAUAGAAUCAACCAAAACUCGCAUUAUAACUAGUUUUAUAGAAAUAUUUUUGACAUAUGAUGAUUGAAAUGCAAUAGUAAACUUGUACAAUCAAUUCAAAUUUAAACUCAUACUAUAAAAUAUUACCGUCACCGCUGCCCACAUGUGGUUUUUAUCGUCUUCCUCAAUUUCCUUCCACGAAUGAACUCGAAGCGGACAAAUAUUGCGAUUACGCACAAUUUUACCCAAAUGUCUUGAAAAAACCUUGUGAUUUUUUCCAGUGGCACGGUUGUUGUAGAAUUUUACCUCCAACUUUUGACCUUUUUUAAUUUUGCAACUUUCUUACACUUGUUUCUACCUCGGACUUUUCUUUUCUUUUGAGAAGUUGCCAGAUCUAAAAAUAUCACUCAAAAUCCAUAUAAAAUUGCUUAAAUACACAAUUGUAUGAAAAAUAUCACUCAAAAUCCAUAUAAAAUUGCUUAAAUACACAAUUGUAUGAAAGUUUUAUAGACACAAAAAUCUGAAAUAAGAUAAAUAUGUCUAAAUGAGAAAAUUUUACCACACUCUAUAGUUUGUUCGGCACUUUGGAUAUCUUCUACAGACUCGAAUUCAUGCGGCAGAGAGGCAUCAUUUGGUGGUUCUGUUGGAGUAUCAUUUGGUGAUGUACUAUUGUUGAUAGCACCAAUUAAAGCAUCUCGUGAUGAUGAUCUAAGAGAAGGUCGUAAUCCUUUUCCACGACCCUUCCCCAAUGCACCUGGUGCUAUGAAGAGUUGCUUUUCAUAUCUGGAAGUGACCAUGUUUCCUCUUUGUAACCUUGAUGAUUGCAUCUUUCACCUACAACAUUAAUGUAUGAAAAAUGCAUUUAACAUAUUAUGCUUUAUGAAAAAUAAAUAUACCACUAUAUAGCAAGCUUGGUAAUAAAAAAUAAUAGCAAGAAAUGCACAAACUUGAUAAAUUAGAAUCAUCGUUUUCUCUUUUUUUGCGUUGAAAAUGUAUCAACCAUCCUUGGAUCCACAUCAUUCCUAUUCCAACUAAUCUCGUUAUACAUGCUCAGUGUUGUGCAUGCAUCAGUUAUAGGAUUGAAAGAUUCUCUUUGUUGGUAGGCUUCAUCCCUAUCUUCAACUUCCUCAAGAUCAUUAUUUAACUGCAAUGGUAUCAUGUACGUAUCACGAGGUUGAGUCUUUUGCACAAUAUGCCAACCUUUAGUAAUAUGAUCAGCAACAUAAAAUACUUGUGAUACUUGUGAUACUUGACUGGCCAAUACAAAUGGUUCAUUUGUUUUAAGCAAACGUUGGCAAUUAACACUGAUAAACCCAUAUUCGUCUGUUUUAACUCCUUUUCCUUUGUCAAAUACGUCCAACCAAUUACCUCUAAAUAAGACCACUCGACGACCACCAAGAUAUUGUAAUUCAAGAAUCUCUGUUAAGAUCCCAUAGUAAUCUAUCUGUUCAGUUUCACUACCGGUGUCCCCAACUACAACUACUCCACAGUUUUGUGUUCUUAAACCUUUGUCAUUGUUGGGCCAAUUCGGCGCGGACAGUUGGCAAGCCGAGACUAUAUACAUGAUCCAUGUCAAAAUGGUGAACCAAGAGCAUAUGAGACAAAAACGGAAAAGAUGAAGGAAAGGAAAGCGAAAGAAGAGUUUCCUGGAAAAUGAAGAAGGAGUGAGUUUCAAAGUCCGUCGCAUCGAAGAAGAAAGGCCGUCGUAUCGAACCGUCGCAUCGAAGUGAGUUUCAAAGUCGGCUUUAAUGAUAAGUAGACGGCGGUAAUUAAGAUGACCUAAUUAAUGCCGCAUAUGAGACAAAGGUAGAGAAUGUGAUCAAGGCCGUAAAGAAAAGAAUCAGCGGCCAGGAUUAAACCGUACAAAAGAUUGCGCUACAGAUUAUGUCAGAGAAUUUGAAUUUGAUUGUACCGAGGAAUACGCCUCGGAUUGCAUUCGUUUUCAGAGGUUAAGGCGAAAAGUUCAAAAAAUAACGCCAGCUACCGAAGCAUCACUUCGAAAGCUGCCGAGAGGGCAAUUGUUGGGCCAAUUCGGCGCGGACAGCUGGCAAGCCGGGACUACAUACAUGAUCCAUGUCAAAACGGUGAACCGGGAGCAUAUGAGACGCGCCAGAAGAUAUGAGCCGCGUUUAUUCAAAAAAUUGUAACAACCGCAAGCGGUUAUGAGUAGUUCUAAUCGGCCGAAGGUGGUCCUCCAAAUCAAGAGAUAGUGGCCGAUCGUGCAGUAACGAUAACUGAACGCAAGGGCAACUUUAUAAAUAGGCAUACGGCACCCUGAAAAAGGGUCUUCGCCUCUGCGCACAAAAGACCACUUUUAUUUUUCCUGGGUCUUUCUUUCCUGCAUUUACCGCUUUUCAUAAGAGUAGUUCUCAUAACUUAGCAUACUUGGAGUCUGUCUACCCUACGGGCAUCACUCCCCUGUUCUAUUCAAUAGAAAGUCAUUUUCGGCUCUUCUUGCCGAUCAGAUCUCGAGUUGUUUAGUCAUUCGGCUCAUCAGUCGAAUUCUGGGCUUCCCCUCUUCAUUCGGCUUAUCCCGCCGAAGCGAAUUUACUGUGGAGGUCUUCGAACCCGGUUGAUUCGAUCCCUCAUCGGCCGAAUCGCUUGAUUCGUCGUGGGCGCAAACUUCAAGGGUCACCAUCCGCGGCCGCUCAUCAUCCCGACGUUCUUCCCGAGGAGAAUUCUUGACCGGGUCAAGGGUCGGGACUUUCGGCCACCAACAGUCAUGUUCUUCUGUAUGGAACCUAUAACCAUUUACUAUAUAACCACUAUAGCAAGUCACAUAUUUUGUAGGUCCACGAGACAAGGAAAGCAAGUCUUGCAUAACCAAACUUUUGUCCUGCUUGUGUAUUUGGGUAACCUACAAGUUAAAUGUUAAAGUAUAGAUAGUUCAGCAUAAGUUUACAAGGAAUGCAAAUUAUACAAAUAAUAAAAUCAAGAUUAGUGCUUACUCUGUUCUUAAACCACUUAAUAAAGCUUUUAUUCCUACACUUGUAUUGUGCUUCUAUUUUGAAUCUCUGUAUACUGUUUGCAUAUCAGAAUAAAGUAGCUAAACAUAUAAUUUUCAACGAAUAAGAAAAGAAUGUGUGAUAUUUAUAUAUAAAACAUACUUCAAAAAUGGUUGUACUUCUUCACAGUUCUUUAAAAUAUAGAUAUGCGCUUGCUCGAAAUCAUGUGUAUCUAGAUCAUGAGUUCUACCAGCUCCAAGUGUCUUUCCGGCUUGAGAAAAGAUAGACAAAUAUCCAUCAAAUUUAUUUCGUCUAUUGUCAUAAUUGCGCUCUGGACAAUUAAAUUUUGUCUCAACACCGUGAAGAUAUAUUGAGCAAAAUAUCAUACAUUCAUUCGCAAUAUAUCCUUCGGCGAUUGAUCCCUCUGGAUGAGCUCUAUUGCGUAUACUAAACUUUUGUGUGUACAAGUUUCUCUCUAUUGGAUACAUCCAUCUGUAUUGGACAGGUCCACCAAGCCUAGCCUCAUGCGCUAAAUGGAUUGGCAAAUGUAUCAUGACAUCAAAAAAUGAAGGUGGAAAAACUCUUUCCAACUUGCAAAGAGUUAUUGGAAUUUGGGCUUCAAUCUGAUUCAAAUCAUCCAUACUUAUUGCCUUAGAACCCAAUAUUGUAAAGAAUUGAGAUAACUCAAGAAGUGGCUCAUAAACUGUUUUAGGAAGGAGACCACGCAAUGCUAGACGUAGUAGUCGUUGUAGAAGAACAUGACAAUCGUGACUUUUUAGGCCUGAAAUCUUGUGCUCUUUAAGAUUCACACAAUGAGAAAUAUUUGAUGAAAAACCAUCCGGAAGUUUUAGCUACUUAAGAAAAAGGCAAAAUCGAUGCUUCUCUUCUGAAGAUAAUGUGUAAGAUGCAGCAGGAAGUAUAAACUUACUCCCUUCUUGAAUUGGAUGUAGAUCAGGCCUUAUGUUCAUUGCUUGCAAAUCAAGACGCGUAUUAAUGGUGUCUUUAGUUUUUCCUUUAAUAUUCUUGAAUGUCCCAAAAAAAUUAUCACUUAUAUUCUUUUCAAUAUGCAUCACAUCCAAAUUAUGUCGCAGCAUAAGAGUUUGCCAAUAUGGAAGCUUAAAGAAUAUACUCUUUUUAUUCCAAUUAUCUCCUCGAAGGUCAUGUGAUAUUUUUUUCUUUUUAUUAGCAGCCUUAGUUAAAUUUAUCCCUUCAAGAUCUUGCACCUGUUCAAGAACAUCAUCACCAGUAAGUAGCUUUGGUGGUAAUCUCCUCUCCUUUGUGCCAUCAAAUGAAAAUUUGUCAUUCCUCCAUUUAUGGUUGGUAGGUAAGUAGCGUCGAUGUCCCAUAUAACAUUGCUUGCAACUAUUGACUAAUCUUAAUGAAACAGUGUCCUUGUUGCAACAAGGACAUGCCAAUUUACCCUUAGUGCUCCAUCCAGAUAAAUUGCCAUAUGCAGGAAAGUCAUUAAUAGUCCAUAACAAAGCCGCACGCAUUUGAAAAUUUUGACGAAUUGACGCAUCAAAUGUUGUAAUACCCACUUCCCAUAAGUUCAUUAACUCUUCAAUCAAAGGCUGGAGAUAGAUAUCAAUUGCAUCCCCAGGACCGUUAGGUCCUGGAAUGAGCAUUGACAAUAUAAGAUUAGGUUCCUUCAUACAUAUCCAUGGUGGUAAAUUAUAUGAAAUUAACAUUACUGGCCAAAUGCUGUAUGGCUUUCUCGAAUCUCCGAAAGGUUGAAAGCCCUCACUAGCAAGACCAAGUCUUACAUUUCGAGGCUCUAAUGCAAAUGAUUCAUAGAGUUCAUCAAAAGAUUUCCAUUCCAUUGCACCAGCAGGGUGUCUCAUUAUUUCGUCAUUUACUCUUUUAUCAUAAUGCCAUCUCAUAAGAGAAGAUAUCUUUGUGAAUAUGAAUAACCGUUGAAGCCUAGGCUUUAAUGGAAAAUAACGCAAUGUCUUUGAUGAUUUGUUUUUACUAUUUGCAUUGUGCUUGAUUUCCUCAUUUUGUUUAUCAUUCUUCCAUCUAGAAGCACCACAAAUUUUGCAAGUAUUAGAUUCUUCAUCGUCUUUCCAAUAUAACAUACAAUCAUUUACACAUGCAUCUAUUUUUUUAUAGGAGAGCCCCAAAUCCUGAAUAAUCUUUUUCGCUUCAUAAUAUGAAUCUGGCAAAGUUGAUCCUUCAGGUAGAAACGUUUCAUUUAAUAAUUGUAGUAACAUGGUAAAUGAUGCAUUACUCCACUUUCCAAUACUCUUGAUAUGAAGUAAUUUUACUAAUACAGAUAAUUUAGAGCUCUUGGAACCCGAGUAUAAUGGUUGAUUAAGCUCCCUUAAUAAUCUAUAAAAUUUUCUGGCUUCAUCAUUGUGUUCUUCUUCAUGUACUUCAUGGCUUGAGAUAUUAACAUUUUCAUGAUUCAUAACGAGAUCACUAAAAUCUGGAUAUAAAUCCCUUAUAAUAUCCUCCAUCUCGUCAUCACUCUUAUCUUCUUCUAUUUCCUCGGUAUUUUCAUCAUCAGAUUCGGAUUAAGGCUCUCCUGACCUUUCUCCGUGAUGAUACCAAAAAGUAUAAUUACGGACAAUUCUAUAAACCUUUAAAUGUGUCUCAACUAUCUCACGAGUUCCUGAAUAAGUGUCUACACUUAACGCAGGGACACCUGAUUUCAUUAUUAUCUCCCGUUCUCUUAAAUGCAUAAUUGAGAAAACUUUGAACACCUUUAUCAUAUGCCUCAUUAAGCCGGUCAUCAACCAAAUCCAUCCAAUCCUUAUUAGGUGCCAUUAUCUUCUUGUAAGUUUGAUAAAAAUUAGAGCUCAAAAUUACCUAAGCAACAUAGAGUGGUAAUUAAGCAACUUCACAUCAAAUUAAUAUAAUGUUAAAAAAAAGCAACAUGUAUAACCUUAUAUAAGCCUAAUUACAAUAAUUAAUGGGUGUGAGUGAAAGACUCUUAUUUAAAAUUAAGAAGCAAGCAAACUUCUACAUAUCUUCUAACUAAUUAUUGGCACAAAAAAAACCCAAUUUAAGAUAACAUAGCAAAGAAUAAAGUCAUAAAAAAAUUUUCUUAUUACACAAUGAAGACAUUAAUCUGUUAUAUAGUAUAGAAAGGCCAUGUAAAUAUGUGGUCACCCAAGCACCUGGACCUAUGUGUUACUAUCACACCACAUGACAGACAAAAAAAAAUCAUCUAACCUUUUUCAUACUUGGUUAUCAAAAGAAGAGUAAAAACUUAGUAUAACAUUCAAUAUAUCAACCACCCAAUAGUGCUCUUUCCAACAGUAGAAACUACAACAAUACAAUAAAAAAGAAAAAUAUUAACAAAAAAUAAUAAUACAAACAUGAAACUAAAUCAACUAGUAUGCAUUGGCUAAGUAAAAAACUAAGUGAAGUUAAUACCUAAGCUUUGGCGGCGGCGGCACAGAGGAUUUUAGUGGCAGAGGCAAUAAUAAUCCACACCAAUCCACGCAAUGCCGAGCGACUACACAGUUUCACACCAAAUGUACCUAAAAAGCCUAAUAAAUAUUAGGUUGAAAAAUAUGAGAUGGACAGAAUAAAAAUAUAUGAACAAAAUAAAUACAAAUAUCAACAUUUCCUAUAAAGAAAAGAUUAAAAUAAAUUACCUCUAAGUAUUUAGGGUUCCAAAUAUUAAAUUUAAAAAUUAUAAAAGUAAUAUGACAGUUGAUAGAAAAAUCUGGCACGUUCAGAACUAUAUUAAUUAAAAAUUGAAAAUUUUAGACCUUUACUAUUUUUUAUAUUCUAUAACAAAAAUGGGUCCCUCUCAUAGGCAUUUUGAGAAAUACUAACUAAAAUUUGGGGGCUUCAAAUUUUCUUCAUUUUUCAUUUUUUAUAACACAACAGGUCACCUAGAAAUAUAUUAAUAUGAAUAUUCAACUGAAGGAUCCUCCCACUUUGGAAAAAAAAACAAAAAAACAAAAAACAAAAAAAAAAAUUAGAAACAAAAAACAAAAAAAGCCUAUUUGCAUUGGACUUGGAAAGUCCUUCCUUUGACUUUUCCUUUCAAUAAAGAUCACAAAUUUAAAGCAUAAAACGACAUUGCAUUGUGGAGUUGUUAAGCAAUUAAGGAUAUUUUUUUGUGGGUAUCGAUAGUCUCUUUUCAUUUGUAGAAAUCCAUACAAAUGGGACCCAUCACAAAUAUCAUAUUAAUAAAAUAAAAAUAUUCUGCAGAUGAAGAUAAAAAUAGAGAAAGAGCUUACAAAGGGGACCCAUUACAGAAAUUCCACCUUAUAGUGGUGGAAAAACUAUAUAAAUAAAGAAAAAAACAUAGUAAGAGAGAGAUAAAGGACCACAGUCAAAUGUAUAUGAUAGCGGCUCGUGAAGCGUCGGAGUAGUUCGCCCUUCUAUAGCGUUGGAGAGCGCGUGAACAUUUGCUGGCGAGCGAGCGCGUGGGUAUAUUUGCCGGCGAGCGAGUGCGUGAGUAGCCAACGGCAAGCGAGGGCGUGGGUAGCCGACGGUGAGCGAAGGUGUGAGGAGCCGACGGCGAGCGAGCGUGUGAGGAGCCGACGGCGAGCGAGCGCGUGAGGUGUUGGGAGAGGAAUCCCUAUGGUGACUCAGGAGACAUUAGAGGAGAUUUGGGGCUAAUUUGGGAGCUAGGUUACUUUGUCCCAAAAGGAUGCGGGACUGGGAGAUUUUAGAUUUUUUUUUGUUUUUUGUUUUUUUUUUUACAAUUAGGAUGCAUUUUGGGCCUGCCAAAAUUCUUUCUAGGCCCGCCAAAUUUUUUUGUUGAGUAUUAACGACCGGGCCAGAUGACUAAUAACGACGAAAUAAAUCUUUCGUCGCUAAUUAUUCGUUACCAAAUAAUAUUCUAUUGAGGUAUAUUAAAUUUUCUCUUUUUAGCGACCAUAUGUAGCGCCCGUCGUUAAAAGUUGGUCGCUGAAAACUCAAUUUGCUGUAGUGAUAUAAACUGGCAUAAUUCGGUAUAAAUCUGGAGUUGUUGUUCCACCUUUAUUCCUGGAACAAUCGAGAACAAGAUUAAUUAAUUUCUAAUUAAUUUUAAUUAUAGUAUUACAUCAUUAAUUAAUCUAAUUAAUAAUUUUAAAUCAUUAAUGAAUCUAAUUAAUAUAUUUAAAUCAUUAAUUAAUCUAAUUAAUAUUAAUUAAAUCAUUAUUUUUGGAUAACCUGCCAACCUAUUUUUAUUUUUAAAAUUUAAAAUUUUAAAUUUUAAAUUUAUAAUUUGUAAUCUCAAAAUUAAAGUUUAUAAUUUUAAAUUUGAAAUUUUAAAGUUUAAAUUUGAUAUUUUAAAAUUUUGAAAUUUAAAAUAUGAUAUUUUAUAAUUUUCAAAUUUAAAUUUGAUCUUAAAUUUAAAGUUUGAAAUUUAAAAUUUUAACUUUAAAAUUUAAAAUUUGAGAAUUUAAAUUUAAAUUUUAUUUUUGAAUUUUAAAAUUUAAAAGUUAAAUUUUAAAUUUAAAAAUAUAAAUUUAAAGUUUAAAAAUUCAAAUUCAAAUAUAAUUAGAGAGGUAAUACCAUUAUUUUCUAUUUACAANAAUAUAAUGAGAGGGGUAAUAUAAUAUUAUUCUUUUUUAUUUAUAACUAACUACUAUUUUUCUUAUUCUAUGUUAUCUAUCAAAAUAUUAUUUUUUUAUUAUCGGGAACAAUUCAAUUUUUAUCCAAAUGCAAAAUUGAUCUACUUUUACUUAUAUGUAAACUUAUACCUAUCCCGAAAUAAGUAAUUCUUAUUUAUACUCAGAACCAAAACGGUGCCUAGGAGCUCGCCAUAUGGAAUAGAUAAAUGUAGGCAUGCACGUGUUUCAACGAAAUUGUGAAAUUAUUAUAUAUAAUGUAAGGGUUUCUAUUUUCAUUUCUAUAGAUAUAGAUAUAGGAGAGAAAAAAACAAGCUAAGAAUAAAAAAUGGCCAAUUUGCAGAAAAAAUCCACUAAUUUUAGGUUUUUGCAAAUAUGGACUACCUUUUUCGUUUUUGCAGAUUUAGACCGAAUUUUUUGCCAUCGGACGAAAAUACCCUUCUUCCUUUUCUUUCUCUCCCUUCUUUUUUCUCUCUCUUCUUUUUUUUUUUCUUCAGUAUGUUUUCCUCCUCCGCAGCGCCCGCCCUCCCCAUCGCCGCCACGUCCACCGCCUCGCCUGCGCCUCGUGCCGCGCUGCCGACUCUGGCCGCCGUUUCUCCCCACCCCUGGCGCCCCUCCACCCCCCACCAUCCGCGCUUUUGCCCCUCCUGCCGGCCCCACGACCCCCCUGCCCCUCCCCCUUUGGCUCGGCCUCCGCCCCCUCCUCCGCCACCGAUGCCGACAACGGCGAGUCGGCGGCCUCCUUACUCGACUACAUGCUCCACCACGGCCUCCCCGACGACCUGCCCCUCCCCCUUCGCCCCCGCCUCCACCCCCUCCUCCGCCGCCGACGUCGACGACGAGGUCCUCGGUGUUGGGGUCGUCGUCGAGCUCCCGCGUCCCCACAGCGGUGCUCUCGAGCAGGAUAGGCAUAGCCCUAGAUGGGGCGGCACUGUCGUGCGUCGCGAAGCUCCGCGGCGGCACGGGCAAUGCGGGGAUCGCUCGCGCUCGCGCUCGUUCUCGUGCUCGAACGGGAGUGGCGAAGGCGACAAAGGACGGAUGGGGCGAGGCGAGUCGGCAGCGUAGGCGAAUCCGGCUCGAUUUUUAGGAGAUUUUUAUUGUUAUGAUGUAGUGGUGUAAUAGUGUAAAAAAUAAGAAGGAAGAGGAAGAGGAGGAGAAGGAGAAAUUGUGUAAUUUUGGGUGAAAUGGUGUAAAAUUUGGUGAAAUGGUGCAAGUUUGGGCGAAAUGGUGCAAUUUUUCUUUCAAACAGGGUAAAAUUUACACUAUUUCGCUCGUCCCUUUUAGGCGAACGUUGCACUAUUUGGGUGAAAUUUACACUAUUUUUUAUUCUCUUCUUCUUCCUCCUUCUUUUUCUCGGUUUAUUCUCUUUUUUUUUUUUCUUCCUCCUUCUUCCCCUUGGUUUAUUCUCUCUCUCUUUUUUUUUUUUUUUUUUUCCUCCUUCUUCCACCUCGAGGAGCUCUAGAGCCGCCUCGCGCGCCUCCGUGCUGAGAACCGCGAGCUCGCCGCGCGAAUCGGUGACGCCGCCCACCUCUCCGCGCUCCUCCCCCGCAACUCCGACUGGCUCCGGGCCGAGUUCGCAUCCCUCUGUCGUCGUCUCGCGUUGGCGCGCCGACGGAGAAGGAGAAGGAAGAAGGAGGCCGCAGUGGAGCAUAUGUCGUCGAGCAGGGAGGCUGCAAAGCGGGGCUGGCCGCGGCGGCAGAGGGCCUAGGCGAGGGCGCGGUAGGAGGAGGGGUCGGGGGAGAGGCCGAGGUGGGGGAGGCAGGCUCGUCGCCCGCGACGUGGCCGGAGCGGACGAGGGUGAUGUCGCAGGGGCAAGGAGCAGGGGGUGCGCGGGCGAGGGUGAGGGUGCGCCGAACAGAGGUGAGGCAGGCCGCCUCCGCCGCUCUCUGGAAAAAAAAAGAAAAAAAAGAACUAGAGAAAAAAAAAAGGAGAGAGAAAAAAAUACAAGAAUAUUUUCGUCAGUUUGCUGAAAAAUCAGACCGAAUCUGCAAAAAAGAAAAAUGUGGUCCACUUUUGCAAAAGCCCAAAAUUAAUGAAUUUUUUAUGCAAAUUGGCCAUAAAAAAUUGAAACUUUGAAAAAAAAAAAAGAAAAAAAGAAAAAAAGGAGGAAAAAAAACAGAAGAGCCGGUAUGGAUAUUGAGUACAGUGAAUAGGCACCCCCUAUCUGCAUUUUGUGCGUUCUUCCCCCCACUACGGCCAUGGCAGUGGCGCCUGCCUCCUCCUCCCUCAAAUUCUCCCUCUUCCUCCUCCACCCCCGCCGCUUCCCCGCCGCUCCUCCGGCCUCUUCCGCCUCUCCACUCCUCUCCUCCUCUCCUUUCUCUUCCCCCCUCCCUCUCUCUCUGCCCCGUGCCCACGUCCCUCUCUCCGCUCGCCCUCUCCCCGCUUUCUCCAAGCCCAAGAAGCCCAAUCCAACCCCGAGGGUCCUCGCCGUCUCCGAUGGAGAGGAGAAAGUCUUGACUCUUGCAGAAGAGGAAGAGGAAGAUGAAGAAGAAGAAGAAGAUGAUGCUGAUGAUGAUGAUGAUGAAGAAGAGAAGGCCGAGGAGGACGGAGCGGCGGCCGCCGGGAAGUUCAGACUUCAGGUCCGGCCCUGCGAGCUCUACGCCUGCAACUUGCCACGGAGCACCGACAUCUCCCAGCUUUUGGACCUCUUCAACCGCUACGGCACUGUCAUUUCCGUCGAGGUUUUUUCUCUAUUUCAUUGUCCGGACCGUAGCAUGAAAUAUAUACUUCAACUUACAAUCUUACAGUGUUUUUGAAAUGUUUUGAUCUUACGUUGCGUCUAACCUUCUCAAUAUUUGAAACACUUUUAAUGGAGCAGUCUGUAAUGCGAUGGAAUAUUUUGUUACUUGAUGAAUUGUUCUGCAAAAAUCUUGCAAAUGCUUUACCGUUAGGAUGCACGAUUUCAAAACUCUUGAAGCUCAAUAAUCUAUUUAAAAGCAUUAUACGAGUAGCCAGUAAAAUCAAAGCUUUUACGUACCUACUCCAAAAUUUGCUACAGUUCGUAUAAGGUCUAAUACAUUUUUACCUUCUAAUACUACUUACCAGUGCUCCUUCUGUUUCGUGUCGAAAUGAUACUAUAUGUUACUUUGCUGUGCGUUUCUUAUGGAAAUUCUUUUACCUGGGGAGGGUCUUGAAGUCCACAUUUCUUGUACUUUUCUGCAUAUUUCUUGUGAUAUCUUAUUAUUGUUGGACACAUUAAAACACCGACCUCUAGGAUCUUAUGCUCCUAAAUGCAAACCAUUGUUUCGCAUUGUAUCAGAGCUAGAAGUCUAAGUACAAGACUUUUCUGGCAUCUAGUCUAAUUUAAAUUUCUUCUAUUUAUCAAAAGGUCUCAAGCCCAGAUUUUAGUGAGAGUGUCGAAUAUACAAUAUUCAAACACCGUUCUGAAGUAGUUUACACUGCCUGAGGAAAUCGGUUGUUUCACAAUUGUAAUAUGGCUCUAAUUUUCCACUUAUUUACAAUUCUACUAUAGAAUGUUUAGCUGAGAAAUAAACGGCCCAUCGAUUCUUUUCAAUACACGUCAACCUUUUUCUUUUUCUUUUUUUUUUUUUUUUGUCUCUUUGACUUUGGAAUCCCUUCUGUUACUUGAUUUGUCCUUUGUUUAGGAAAUAAGAACGAAAAUACCAAAUGGUUUAAUGUUUGGUUGAUAUCUUAUAGCAUAUAUGCACCCUUUAGUCAAUUCUUCUAUUAGUUAGUUGUGCUCUGGCUAUCGUUGUAUUUUAAAGUUUAACCUCAUUGAUGAUGACAGCGACCUUAUUUUAACAUGGCAAGUUCAUAUUAACUAUCGAAAAUAUCUCCUUUGAUACAGUUUGGGGCUUUUUUUGCAAAUAGCCCUCUAACAAUUUUUUUUUUAAAAAUUGGCCAUGUAAAAAAUUUAUUUGCAAAAAUGGUCCUGGCCCCGCCACGCAAGCGCCACGUCAGCGCCACGCGGGCGGGGCUGGGCCAGAUGGUUAAGUUGAACACGGUGAACCAUUCACCGUGUUCAAUACAAAAUUUUUGUAUUGGACACGGUGAACCAUUCACCGUGUUCAAUACAAAGUUUUUGUAUUGGACACGGUGAAUGAUUCACCAUGUCCAAUACAAAAUAGUUAAGAUCGAAAUAUUUAUAUUGGACACGGUGAACCAUUCACCGUGUCCAAUACAAAUAAUUGGACACGGUGAAUGGUUCACCGUGUCUAAUACAAAUACCUCCAACUUAGCCAUUGUUGGGGUAUUUGUAUUGGACACGGUGAACCAUUCACCGUGUCCAAUACAAAAAUCUUGUAUUGAACACGGUGAAUGGUUCACCGUGUUCAACUUAAACAUCUGGGCCCGCUCUGCCCGCGUGGCGCUGACGUGGCGCUAGCGUGGCAGGGGCAGGGCCAUUUUUGCAAAUAAUUUUUGGACGGGGUUAUUUUUGCAAAUAAAAUUUGUCAGAGGGCUAUUUGCAAAAAAAGCCCUACAGUUUGGCUUUGGGAGCAAUUCCGUACUGUUUUUCUGUAUUUGUAGAAAGAAAUAGCAUAAUCCUUUAGACCACUGUUCUAAUGAAAGUUCCAACUAAACAUUAUAUCUUUAUGAGAAUUAUCUGUAUGGAAUCACUCUUCUGGCUCUGCAAUUACUGAACUUGUGCAUAUUUCCUUGAUUCAUUACUAUUUCCUUGUUUUAGUGUUUGUGACAAUUUAGCUGCUUACUUGCUUGAUAAGUUACUAUUGUCUGAGUCAACCUAAACAACACUGCUGUGCAAUUCUAAUAUUAUCAUUGACUAAUAUUAUUGAAAUAAUUUGUUUUCCUAUUUCGUGUCAUCUUGAGAUCAUUGAGAUAUGUGCUGCUGACUGCUGAAGUAAAUAUUACAAAUUUUUAACCAGUAAAAUGGAUGAUGCACUAUUUUGUUGAUGUUAAAAAUUACUCAACUAUUUGGUUUCCAUGCUGCUGCAAAUUUUAGUUCUUUCUAACCCAUCAUUUUUUUUUUUUUUGAUUUAGUAGUUUUUGUCAAAAAGUACCCAUGCAGAUGCACCAUUUUUAGCCCAUAAUUUUUUUUUUCUUUUUGUAACCAAAAAGUGACAGCGUUUGGUCUGAGUAGGAGGCUGAAUGGGCUUCUUUAUCUCUGUAAGCAGUAAGCUCCAAUUUGAAGUUUUUAUUUUUUUUUGCUUCAGUGUCAAUCUGCUGGAGGGUUUUAGUUCCAAAACUCCUGCCAUUCCAACCUGCCCCUUAGCAUUAGUAGAUGGUAAUCAAAGAAUUCCUGUUACUCGUAGUUGUUUCUUUCUAUCCUUUUGAUACUGGACUGCUGUAUCUGCAUAAGAACAGUGUCGUGCGAUUUCGUAAUUUUCUUGAUUGCUAUAUGGUCAUUAGCAGGUGCUAUUAUAUUUUAACAAUUCUUGUAUAUACAAAAUAUGCUUUAUAUAGCACUUUGGAAUGUGAACAUUUGCAGGUUUCACGAGAUGCUGUAACUGGCAUAAGUCGUGGAUGUGGUUUUGUUACAAUGAGUUCUCUAGCAGAAGCAAAAGCAGCAAUUUCUGCUCUUGAUGGAUCUGUAAGCUCUAUAACAGUUUUUGUGCUAAUUUUCAAAUCCAUUAAAUUUUCAAUUAUUUUAUAGUAAACUCUUUUCUCUUGCUAGGACCUUGGUGGGCGUGAAAUGUGUGUGAAAUUUUCGGCUGAUAUGGUCUCUGGAAGAAAAAAUACAGAGGCCUUAAAUACGACACCCAAGAAAGACAUUGUCUUUGAAAGUCCAUAUAAGGUCUAUGUGGGUAAUCUUGCUUGGUCUGUAAGACCUGAAGGUUUGAGGGAGCAUUUUAGCCAAUUUGGAACUGUUGUAAGUACUAGGGUGCUUUAUGACCGUAAAGGAGGGAAAAACCGUGUCUAUGGAUUUCUUUCAUUCUCUUCAGCUGAUGAACAGAAGGCUGCAAUAGAGUCGAAUGGAUCGGUAUAGUGCCUUUUUUGGUUCUUUUUUCAUUGGAGAAGUGAAUCAGGCCUGAAAAUUUGCUUUUUCUUUUUGUCUAGUUAUUUUUUGCUUUUUUGAUCAUUUAUUCUUCUGUUCUAUUGUUUGUCUUUUUUUUGCAUUGUCAAUCAUGCCUUAGGUACUUUAACAUCAAACUAUUGAUGGGCAUUUUCAUUUAGGUAAAUUCAUUUUUGAUUUGUACAAUUUUGAUUCUUCUUGUUAUGUUGUUAAUAGGUAUUUCAUGGGCGGACAAUGUUGGUUAGGGAAGUCGUCAAUAGGGAAGAAGCAUGAUGCCACAACUUGGUUUCAUUCAACAUCAAAGAAGCAGUUUCAUCCCUAUAUGAAGUAGUACUUUAUGUUGCUGCAAUCUUAUUUAUUGGAUCCUUGGUAUGAUGAAAAGGUGAUCUCGAGUUUCCAUUUAAUCAGCCGUUGUUAUUAUAUCUUGUCAUAUCUUGUAUCUUUCUUAUGUGUUAUGUAGUUUCUCUAUCUUGUUUUAGAGAAUACCUUCAUGUGAUUUUUUAACUGUCAGUAUAUAGUUUUGAAAGUUUGAUUUGAUUCUUUCAAAACUCAAUUUUCUAUUAUAUAUAGUGUCUUAUGAAUAACCGAUGGUUAGACACUUGCAAAAGAUGUUACAGAUGACAUUGGCCUUAUAGUUAGGGGGUGUUUGGCCUAGCUUCCUAAAAGUGAUUUUGAGCCCAAAAUUGAUUUGGGGCUCAGUAGAGCAUUUGGCUAUAAGAGUUCGAAAAUCUGAUUCUAUUUUUCAGAAUCUGAAAACUGAUUUUUCAAUCCCUAGAAUCAGAAGCAGAAAAAAGCUGCUUCUCCAAAACUGAUUCUUGCAAAAUCAGUUUUCCCACUUAAAAUUUUUAGAGAAGUACCCAAACUACCCCUAAACAAAUAACAUAAUUCUAUCUAUCAUUUUAUAUUCAAUUAAUAUUUUCAGCUAUUCUCUUCUCUCUUCUAUUCACUAUUCCCAUUCACUCUUCCCACAAAUAACUCUCUUCCCAACUCUUCCCCAACAAUUUUUUUUUUCACCUUUCUCUCUUCUCUAAUUCCAUCUCUCUCCUUUACUUUUUAUUUAACAGAUUCCCUCUAUCUUUCUCUCUUCUUCCAUUGCUUGGCGGGUUUGGCCGGAUCUGCACCGGCGGGAUCCGUCCUUGCUGGAUCCUGUCGGAUCUGUGCCGGCGGAAUUCGUCCUUGCCGGAUUUGGCUGGAUCCAGCCGGAUCCAUGUUGGCGGGUUACGUCCUUGCCGGAUCCGGCCAGAUCCUUGCCGGCAGAAUUCGGCAAGGCCGAAUUCGACCAGAUUGGGUGCUGUCGGCAUGAUAAAUGGGAAUGUGAUUAUAAAAAAUUAAAAUACGACGGAUUUGGGUCGAUUAAAAUUUUUAUUUGUAUUUCAGUAGAACUUAAAAUUAAAUUUGUAUUAAGAAUAUAUUUUAUAUAUAGAAAAAGUAUAAUUUUUAAACAUUUUGAUUAUUAAUAUACAUUAAUAAAUUAAUAUAAUAUUUUGUAUGUAACCUUCUUUCAUGUUUAAACCUAGAAAAUCACUUCAUUACAAAAUAAAUUAAUAAACUAAUGUUAAACAAUAUUACAAAAUCACUUUCGCAAAAAAAAUUUGCCAAACAACUUUCUAUAAUCAUUUUAGAAAAAUCACUUUUCUAUCAAACUCGGCCAAACGCUUUACAGAUUUUAACCAAAAUUACUUUUUUAAACCAAAAUCAAUUCUGCAAAAAUCACUUUUCUAGAAUCUAGGCCAAACGGGCCCUUAGUCUUUUGGAAGAAAAAAUAAAUACUUGAUAGCUUCGUUCGGAGGUUUUUUAAAGGGUAAAAUGCAAAGAUUGUACUUAGACUUUCACAUUAGCACCUUAAUAUGAAUUUGAAAAGUUUGUAAGUUAUGUAAUUUGAUCCCGUAAUGCCCAGUACUUAGACUUCCACAUUAAGGUGUUAUUUCUAAGCAUGCAAGUGUAAUUAGUAACAUCACAUCAAAGAUGAUCUGAUUAUAGUAGGAAGGGUACAAAGAUCCGAACUUACAAAAGAAAGUUGUAUAGAUACAAACUACUGUUGUAUGUAUGUCAAUCCAAAAGUACUAUAUACAAAGACAUUAACACAACCAUCAAAACGUUAUUUACUAUCUACCUAUGUAUCACGGACACUUCUAUAAGCCUUGCGUGUCCGUGUCAAACGCGCGCGUGUCCGUGUCGGACGCGUGUUCGAUGUGGACACUCCUUGGAUGCCUAUUUAAUGCCGCGCAUACAACUUAAAAAAUAUAUAUAUCUAUUUUUAUUUUACUUUUUCUAUACAUAUAUAAUGUAAGAUGAUAAAUAUUUUAGCUUUUUGAUGAAUGUAUACAAUUUCUUUUUGACAAUAUAAAUAAAUUAUGUAUGGUGGAGAAUUUCUUUUCUUAAAAUAUAUGAACUAUCAAUGAAUUUUACUAACUUCCAUUUGUAUGAGAAAUAUAAUAAUAUUUUACCAAAAUUAAUAUUUUAUACAUAAUAAAAAUAUAUUAUUAUAUUAAUAAUAUUAUAUUCUAUUAGCAGUGUCCAUGUUGUAUCCGUGUCCUAAUUUUUUAAAAGUUGUCGAGUCGCGGUGUUUGAGUCGUGUCGUGUCUCGUGUCCCGUGUCAGUGUCUGUGAAGCCUAGCUAUCUAUGCUAAGUCGUGCCUUGCCUUGUUCUUGUCUCAGCUUCGAAUUUGGAAAAAUGGAGUAGGGCAUCAACACUACAAGAAUAUUGUGUGAUUUCUACACCAUGUGUAGUAAAGAAAACAAAAAUUAUAGAUACUACAAAAGAAUAUCAAGAUAAAAUUAUUGCACCCGUAAAUUAGGGGUGCAUUUGCAGGGUGGAUCAAGUGGGGGAAGGGUUACCCCGGCUCCUACACUGCCAACCAAAACCCCACCCUACCUAUUGCCUCCUAGGAGUGUUCACAAUUUGACUCCAAACUGAAAACCAAACCGAACCAGACAAAAUAAGACAAAGCACAAUAAGACAAUUUGGUUUGGUUUAUAUGGUUUUCAGUUCGGUUCGGUUUUGAAAAUAACUGAAAUUAUGUUUUCAAUUUCGAUUCGGUUUUAACACUUCUCUUAACCGAACUGAACCAAAAAUCUGAUAGUUAUAUUGCUCAUUAUUUUUUUUAUUUAAACCAUAUAUAAUUUUGUUUUUGUGAUCCAAUCGUGAUCACAUAUCAACACACUUUUUAAAAUGGAUCUUGUGAUCUACCCUGCUUCCUGUUGGCGCUCCAAAUCCACCUUGCUAGCCAACUAAUUAUAUUGUCCCAAUCAAAUUGACUUCAAUUAAUUGUUUAUGAAACCAAAUCGACAUAAUUUCUCAACAAAAUAAAGAUGAAAAAAAAAUUGAAGCAUAAUCAACAUAACAAUCUCUGAAGAAAUUUUUUAUCAAAAGAAAAGUACCAUCUAGAUCUUAAAUUUUACGAACUAAUUUUAGUUUUGAUCAUCAAAAAAAAAAAAUGGAAGUAAUAAAAUGUAGAGCACGUGAAAGAGAGGUUGAGGUGCUUGGGCUCUCAGUUGUAGUAAAGGAGAUCGAAGCACUUGAGCUUACUGCAGUGAAUGACUGUAAGAUAGAGAUAGACCGACAAGCUAGGUUGUUCGUGAAAGAUGGGGAUGAGUCACACGUGUUAGAAGAGGGGAAAGUGCAAAAAUGUUGGCCAGAGAGGAUAUGGAGGGGAAUGGAAUGUCGGCAAACAUGAUUGGAGGAGAGGAAGAUUUUGAGAGUGGUAGAGAUUUAAGACUUAAGAAAGAAAAUAGAGAUUAUGGGAGGGCGGUGUCGAUUCCUAGGAGUAGGAGAAGUGGGUUUCUUUGUAAAUAGAUGUUAACUUAAUAGAUAUAUAGAAAAUCAUUAGCAGUUUUAGAGAAAGAUUUGGGGUGCAUCCCAGGCAAAUCUUGGCAUGGCGGAUUUAGGGUGGAUCAAUUUUUCUUCGUCUCCUGCUCUGAAUAUAUCUAGGACUAAGAAAAAAUUUUCAUUUACUACCUGAAUAUGUUAUUUACAGGCCCCCACAUACUGUCCCAUUAGAUGUGGAUUAGGCCGAGAGCUCCGCCAAUCUGGAUCCAUCUGCAUCCCUACUGUAAAUAUAGUAUCAUUUAAGUCUAACUAGUUACCAAUAUUGUGCAUUCUUAGAAUAAAUUCGAAAUCCAAACAUUACAUGCUAUGCUGUCACAUGUAUCCUUUGUGGACUCUUUCUCAUUUCGAGCCGUCAUUGGGCAAUCUUGCUAACGGUACCUCUUGGAAGAUUGCCUACCCAUGCAUAUUGAUCAGAGGAUUGUUCUAUUACUGCUUGGGGUAUAAACAAGUCGAACACGAGCGAGCUAACCCUAGUUGGAGAUCAGAUCUAAAUUACUAUAGGCUGGUUCGUGACCAGUUGAAAAAGCCUCGCUUCUGAUCGGAUUGCAAUUUAUUCAAGCUAGCUUGUGUUCAUCUCGUCAGUUCGAUUAGUUUACCAAGCUGAGGUAGCUCAUAUAUGACUCGAAUUGUUUACAACUCGAAAUUUAAAUCUCAAAUUGAUUAGUUUAGAAAAUUGUCAUUUUUUUGCAUGAAAAUUUUAAAUCUCAACUUUGCGUUUGGAACUUUGUUUCAGUGAAACUUAGACCACCGCGUUUGUCUCUGAGUAUAGGUGUUCAUAGUAUCCUUAACUUUUGAAUUUCGUAAAAUAUUUUAUUUGGAGAUUACAUUCCGAAGGCGAAAUGGUCAGUUUCUUGGAGAUAACUGCACGCGUAGUGCCGAAUUUGGAAACCCAUAAUUUUUUGCUCAAAACUCCGAUUUCAAUGAAACUUGGCUUCAGAUGUUUUGUUUCUGAGUAUACUUGCGUAUAGAACUUUCCUUUUGCGAAAAUUAUGGAAAAAGUCACAUGAAAUGAUGGAUUGAUCACGAGAUGGUCGUUUUUCCGAAUUUUUUCGGUUUUACCGAAAACUUCCAAAUUCCAAAAAAGCAUCAGGAUGACCAUUAAACCUCACAAUAACACUCCAUUUUGUGCUAGGGGCCCUCAAAAGCCGGAGAUUAGUUUUGUUGGAAUUGGCUUGUUUUUUAUUAAACAAAAAGCAAAAUUACAAUUUAGUCCGUUAUUUAUUACAACCAUGGGGUCAGUUUUUGGGAUGUGAUCUAUUUGAUUGCAGAAUUUAUUUUUGGUGAUGGGAUUUAUGGUUAAUUAGUGGUUUUGGGGUUCAUUUGCCAUGAAUAGCAUACGAGCCAGACUGAUCCAGGGCAGGACAGCAGCCUUCACGCUUUGAAAAUUCAUAGGUACUGAAACAUAGAAUGAAGACCAGAGACUUUGGGGAACAGAUCUAAUGUUGAUGAGUUCCAAGAAUGAAUUGAUAAUGUGUAGCACUUUAAUUGAACCAACAAAGAGAAGAGGAUGAAGUUUGUGACUGUCAAAAUGGAGAAUGCUAGUUUUGCUUGGUUACAAGAUCUUUGAGGCUUAGUGUCAGAAAGAAAAAUUUGUAUGUGGUGAAAAUGAAUGUAAGGCUUCGUUUGGGAUUGCGGGGAGAUUGCGUUACGUGCGGUGAGAAACGACGAUGGGAAAAUACCCAGUUUGUUUCCGUACGUAAUAUUGCGUUCCGCAUAUCGCGAUGAGUCGGUUACGAUAUAUUUUCUGCGGUCCCAUCGAAGAACGCAGAAAAUAUCCCUAUAUGCUUUUUUCUCAAUUCCAUUUUAUCUAAUAGUGUUAGAUAGACCUCAAUACCAAACUAAGCCUAAGAUGAAUUGCAAAUAUUUUGCUGCUAGGCUAGCUGUAGCCUCCUAGAGAUUUUCAGUGUUAAUUGAAUAAUAAGUUGGCUAGAUUUUAACUCACUUUGGUUAUGUGUCUUAGACUGAAAAGAUUGUAUGUUACAUCCCUAAAUUUAUGUCCUGUAUCUGAGAUGAUACAAGGUUAUCUGCACUUACAAGUCGAAAGCUAACAUAGAGAUGUCUUUGAAGCAAAAUACUACUAGCGUUAUGAAUGGUUCUGUUUUUAAACGGAAGUUGAACCAAGCCGCUUAAAGUAUUUCAAAAACAAAAAAAAACUGAACUUACAUGAAAGUAGCAUUGUAGUAAAAUCAGACUAACAGAACUUGAUAGAUUGUCUUUCUCAGUUUGGCUUAUCUGUUCCAUGUUUCCAGUAUUGCUUUAUAGUAAAUAUAUGACCCUAUGUUAAAGUUCACAUAGUGUUGUACAGUAUGGUGGUUAGGUUUAGCAGUUUUUAAUGAGAGAAUAAGUUCCUAGUCAUCAGAAAGGUGUGUAUCUGCAACAUAUUAUAAAAACAUAUACACAUUGGUUUGUAUCACGAGCUAGCUGAGCAAAAACUGAAACCAAUUUGAAUCAAAAUGGAUUAUCAUUCUUGGAACCAAAACUAAAACAAUAAUUUUCUUGGAAUUAAACUAAAACCAAGGAUUUAUUUCAUGGUUUGCUGUUUUGCAGGUUAUUUUGCAAAUCUGUAGAUACCACCACCUCCCAAUGCUCAUGCUUCUUGUUGGUUAGGGUCUUGUUACUACGAGUUGGCACUGAAUCAAAUUAUUUAGACGCUUGAAGGAUAUUCUUCUGUUUAUUUUGUACUAGUCAGCUGUACUUUCAUGCAACUUCAUCUUUAGGGCACGUCCAUAUGAGGCUAAAAUUUAAAGCAAAAUUUUUCUAGAGUAAAAUUUCAUUAGGUGAAUGUUACCCUUGUUAUUGUUUGUAAAUUAAAUUUUUUAUUGUACUGUGAACAAGGGGAAAUUUUUAACCUCUUAACAUUUCAUGAAGUUUGGUUUAAUCAAGACUUUGGUGGUAGCUAGUAGAGAUGAAGGUAUUGCCGGUGGUAGUGCUUUGUGUUUGCUGUAGGUGCCAGUGAUGGCCAAAUAUGGGUGAAUAUGCCUGUUGGUGGCGGUAGUGCUGCCAUGGUGGUGUGCUGGUAACAAUUCCUAUUCGUCUUAGUUUGAGAUUAUGGUGGUAGCCGGAUGGUUGUUGCUUGUUGGCAAUGUCUGAUUACUGUAAUUGUGGUGGCGGGCCUAUUAACCAAGAUUGCUUGGGAGUAAUGAUGGUAGCCUGGUAGCUUAUUGUUGCGACCCUAGUGGCUGCCGAUGGUGGCUCGUUUGCUAUUUAUGGUUGAUAGUUGGUUAUGAUAGUUAUAGUCGUCGGCGCUCAUAGAUUCUGUUAGUGGUUGAUCAUCAUUUUUGAUGGGUGUGGCAACUAUAUGUUGGUUGUUGCUUUUGACAGCAAUGGCUAUUAGUGUUUGGUGACUAUGGUCAUUGCGAUAGGUAGUAAUAGCGGUGAUUGGUGAUGUUUGAAAUUUUGCCCUAAGUUGAUGGGAUGGUGUGGGAUGCUGUAUGGUGGUAUAGUCCUUGUGGUUAAGGUUCAUUGGCAGUAUUGCUACUCGUUUGAUGGCGUUUGGGGGUGUUUUAUCAACAGUUGCUAUUACUAACCGCCAGUGGUAUUUUGUGGUCAGUAAAGCCAAACUGUCAUUGAUAAUGUUAGUGAUGGUCAAUUUUGGUGAAGGUGGCUAUUAGGUUGCAUAAUUUUCACAUACGCAUUCGAAUUUGCUCGUAGUCCUUUUAGUUAACCUUGACUCUCGUCAGAGAAAAGAAAAUACAAUGCUUCUUGUGGUUAAAACAUAACUAGUCCUCGAAGUUUCCCUAGAGGCGCAGAAGUCCUUUGGUUUUUUAGAAAAUCAAUUAUUAUGAUGUGAAAGAAUUUUCUGAUCUUUGAUGUUAAAGAGGCUACACAAAUAUACACACAAAGGGAUCAAAAAGAGAGAGAGAGAGAGAGAGAGAGAGAGAGAGAGAGAGCCUCACUAAAACAAACUGUUAGGGCAUGUUUGGUUCAUGAUUGGAACAUGAAUGUGGAAUGGAAUUGGAUUCCUUUGGAAUGCUUUGGAAUGGAAAAUGGAAUGACGAAUCAUCCAAAAAUAUUUGGUUCAUUAUUGGAAUGGAAAUCGAAAUGAGAAUUUAGAAUUUUUGAGUGAUGAUUUUGAUUAAGAGAGAGGAAAGUGAUGAAGCGAGAGGAGGUAAGUGUUAUGAAAGAGGAUUUUAAAUAGUUUAGGAAAAACUUCAAAUACCACCCUAUGGUUUCGCACUUUUUCACUUUAGUAUUGUGGUUGAAAGUGUAUCACUUUCGUACCCUGUGGUUUAUUUUUCUCUUUUUGUUAUCCCCUUCACUAUUUUUUUUCGUUAAAAUAGUGACAAAGUUAAAAUUAAAGGGUACUAAAAUGAAUAUUCGAUAAACUAUAGGUGGGGUAUUUGAAGUUUUUUGUAUAUGAUUUAAUGAAAAGUUAAUGGAGGGGCUGACGAAAAUAGAAAAAUGAAACCAUGGGUACUAAAUUGAUACACUUUAGAGCAUAGGGUACUAAAGUGAGAAAGCGCGAAACCAUAGGAAUGGUAUUUGAAGUUUACCGCAUAGUUUACUUUGGAAUGAGCCAAUUUGAGAUUCAAAGCCGGAUUGGGCUAUAAAAGGAUUUGGCUAUUCCAAUUCCGGAGUGGAAUGUGAAUCGAAAUCCGAUUCCUAUGAAACAAACGACAAUUAUUGAAAUUAAUGAAUUAUAUUUCGAUUCCAUAGUCUAAAAUAGGUGAAUCAAACAUGCCCUUAGUGUAAGAUAAUUCAGUAUGUGUGGUUUGGGCCAAAAUUGCUUGUGAUAGUUGUAUAGAGUAAGUAGCAUUUUCUGAAAGUUUAAAAUCCAGGUAUAAGCUGAUCGUUCACAUGCCUCAUACUCUUUAGACCCUUGCAAAUUUAGUUGCUUAGAAGCUUUCCCUUCUGUGACAAGUUCAAGUUUUUUAUUUAACAAAUUUUGCGUUGAAUGACUUUGUGUAAACUCAAGCAGAGGCUCUAUAAACGUACCUUGUUGAAUUUGCCGUGUGUAUGAGAUGCAUUGCUCAAAGUUGUAAGAACUCUGAACCCUUUCCAUAUAUAUUGGUUGUGCAAUCUAAGUUGCUCAUAUUAAUGCGACUUCACACAUUCAAAUUUAGUUCCACACCAAAAUUCAUCUCUAGUGCCUCUUUUCUUGCUGCAGGAUUUUGAAUGGAAUUACAUAUUGCUGUGGCGAUUGUUUGUUCAUGAGCCAGCAUCUGAUUUGCAGGUCUUAUUGACAGCUGCUCUUUCUUUACCAACUCAUGCGAGUUUUGUAGGUCUUCUGGAUUUGUUGAGUGCAUUACUUCUUUUUCUUAUUGAUUGCAGACAUCUCAAUUCACAGAUAUACUCGAUCACAUUUCAUCAAUUUGUACAAACAUAGUUCGAGGAUCCAACUAUUUAUUAGAACUAAUGAAUUUGAAGCUUGAAUUCCUCUAUUGUGAUUACCAAGAUGAAAGAGAUUUAAAAACACAUACUCUCAUGAUGGGACACAUUCUGAAUGAACAUCAGACUAAGGCGAUCACUUCAAUUGGAACUGUCAAAGGUAGAAAUUCGGUUCAUCUGGAUUAGUUGUACAGCCCAACCGAAGAUUUAAUUAUGAUUAGCAAUUAAGGUGAUUUUUUUUAAUUUUUAAUUUUAAUUUUUUUUGGCAUUUAGUGUUGAUGUGCUGUUACUACAUUGUAUCCAUGUUUGACUACUUACUAAUUCCACCAAGAGCUCAAUAGCUAACAUUAGCAAACAAAAUAAGACAGGCAAUUUAUUGAUAAAAGAGUGAGAGCAUACUAUCAGAUACUACAAUUGUUUCGAUACAUAGUUGUCUUUUGGGUCUGUAUAUAACUUUGUAUGUUUUUGGGAUUUACAUUCCACAAAAUACUCUCCUUAUAUUCAAAUGACCUCUUUAACUUUUUUAGCAUAUUAAAGCGCAAGAAGAUCGGUAUAAUACUUUCCAAGUCAACUGUAUUUGGCCCUGGACAACAAUUUAUGCUGGUUCUUUUCCUUCAUUAUCUUAUCCGUGUUUAAGAUUUAUCUUUUACAUUUUAUACUAAUCAAUUAUCCCUAGUUUGGAUGUUGUGCUUGGUUUUGACACCCUUAUUUCUAGGGUGAACUUCAAACGACCAUUUUGUAGUUAAGAGCUUUUUUACUCUGUCGCUACGUAGUUUCCAUCAUCCAUUUUUCAUACUUGGUGGUUUUAUAUUUAUUCACCUUAUGCAUGUAAUAUAAACAGGGUAGGAAAGUGUUAUGCUCAUCACGGACCACACGGUGGUAAAGUGUAAAUUAUAGGCUAUUAAUAUUGUAUUGGAUUAAAUUUCGUAGGUCCUUGUGAAAAUUUCGAAUAGUAAACAAAUUUCUACAAAGUUUAAGUCGUCAAUUUUAUUCCUUCAAAAAGUUCAAACAGUUUCAAAACUUGGUUUAAGGGAUAAAUUUGUUAAAUAAUAUGAAACAACAGUUUAAUAUUUAUACCAACAUAUGUUUUUAAUAUUUGUAUUCAACACUCUUCGUUACGUUUGGACUUGGGACACUGUACAUCUAAACUCUAGACAUUUUGAUAGACUUAAGGUGUAAAUUUGAAUUAAAUAGAAAGAAAUUAAUAUUUAUAUUUAACAGGAGUUUUUAAUAUUUAUAUUCCACACUCUCCCUUGUGUAUGGACUUGUUACAUAUCGCUCCUAAACUCGAAACAUUUUGAUAGAUUUAAGACUUGGAUUUGAAUUAAAUAUAAUGAAACUAAUAAUACUAAGAGUUUGUCGUGACUCGAACUUAAGACAUUCUAUUUUGAUACAAUGUCAAAUAAUAUGAAAAUACUAUUUAUCUCCAAAAGUUUAAGUUACCAAAAGAAAAGUAUUUUUGAUAUUUACAUUCAACAAUUGUAUUUAAACCCUCCAAACAUUUGUAUUUGCAAUUGGUGCAAUAUCAAGUUUCGUUGUGUUGAGUAUCGGUAUCGAACAUUAGUAUUGGUACAUUUACCCCGUGUACUAGUACUCAAGAGCAGUUUCGCAAAAUUUGAAUCCUGAAAUCAACCACUCACUAUAGUCUACUGGCACUCCCAAUCUUCAGUACUGAUACUCUCAACUUCAGUACCGGUGCUCAGUGAAGUUCUACAAAAUCUAAGAGUUUUUCCAACUAAUUGAUAGCUGAGUACAACUAUCCCAAAUUUCCAUACUAGUAUUAACAACAAAACUGCAGUUGGUCGAUUUUGCUUUCAUGAGUUCACUUUCGUGCCGUUUUCAUGCUGAUAACACUCUAAGACUCAAACACAACUAGAACAAUUAAAAUAAUAUUAAAUACUAUUUUUUACUGGAACUCCGCUGUUUAAAAAAGUUUAGUGCGUUGCAUUUGUAUCUUGAAGAAAAAGGAGUAAUAAUAAAAGCCAUAGACUAAUAUUUCUCAGAAUUUGCACAGACUGCUAUCUUAAACAUGAUUUGUGCAUUUCUAUUGGCGCUUUUUGGUGUUUCCUAUGUAAAACCCUUCUUAAAAAAGUAGGGAUAGUAUCUAAUAAACACUUUAAAACUUUAAGAUGGUGGAGAAAGAAGAACUUUUAAAGAGUUUGAGCCCUACAAAAAUGGAGAUGCCUACCUGCUUGGAUUUCAAGCCCACGUCAAUUUCUGUUGACCCAGUUUUUACACGAUUGUAUUGUUAGGGCCUGUUUGGCCUAGCUUCUGAAAAAGUGAUUUUAGUUUGGAAAAAUAAUUUUAGUAAAAAGCUGUACAGCGUUUGACAGAGUUUAGAUAAAAGUGAUUUAUUUGAAGUGAUUUCAAAAAGCUGUUUGGCAAACUUUUUUUGAUGUUUGCAUAAAUUAAUAUUUUUAUUAAAUUUUAUUUUAAAAUAAUUUAAAAUCUAAAUUUAAAUUUGAAUUAAAAUUAAAAUUUUUAAAUUUCAAAAUUGUACAAAAUUUAAAAUUUGAUAUUUUAAUUUAAAAAAUAAUUUAAAAUUUUAAAAAUUUAAAAUUAUCAUGAAUUAAAAUUAAAAAUAUAAAUAUAAAUUUAAAAAUAUAUAUAAUUAUGAAUUUUAAAUAUAAAUUUAAUAUAUAAAAAUAAAAAUUUAAAAUAAAAUUUCAAACUUUAAAUUAGAAUUUAAAUUUUAAAAUUUAAAUCUAAAUUUAAAAUUUAAAAUUAAAUGUAAAAAUAUAAAUAAUUAGAAAUAUAAAUAUAAAAAUUAGUAUUUAAAAUAUAUUUAAAUUUUAAUUUAAAUAAUUAAAAUUAAAUUAAAAAUUAAAAUUUAAAAUUAAAAUUAAAAUUUAAAAUAAUUAUGAAAUUUAAAAUUUAAAAUUAAAAUUGAAUAUUUAAAAUUUAAAUUUAAAAUUUGAACAUUUUAAAAAUUUAAAAUUUAAAAUUUAAAAUUUGAAUAUUUAAAAUUUAAAAUUAAAAUUUAAAAUUUAAAAUUAAAAUUUAAUAUUUAAAUUUAAAAUUUUAAAAAUUUGACAUUUAAAUUUAAAUUUUAAAAUUUGCGAAUUUAAAUUUUAAAAAUUUGAAAUUUAUAAUUUGAAGAUUAAAAAUUAUAAUUUGAAAUUUGAAAUUUAAAAGUUAAAAUUAAAUUAAAAUUAAAAUUCGAAAUUUAAAAUUUGAAAUUUGAAAUUUGAAAUUUGAAUCUGAAAAUUAAAAAUUAAAAUUAAAUUUAAAUUUAAAUAUUGAAAUUAAAAUAAAAAUAAAAAUUUGAAGUUUUAAUUCAAAAUCAGAAUCAGAUUUCAAGAAGCAGUUUUUUUCUGUUUCUGAUUCUGGGGUCUUCAAAAGCAAUUUUCUGAUUCUAAAAAGCAGAAUCAGAUUUUAAAAGUGAGUUGCCAAACGCUCUAUUGAGCCGAAAAUCACUUUUCAGCCCAAAAGCACUUAGGCAAAACACGCUCUUAGUUUGUUACAGGGAUGUCAACGUGCCCGAUUCAGGGCGGAUUUUAAAAAUACGAACCUGUACUCGAACCCGACUUCAAGCCCGAAAUCUGAACCCGAACCCAAACCUGAACCCGAACCCGACGGAUUUUAAAAAUCCAUAUCCAAAUCCGAAUCCGAUAAAAAACCAAAAACCCGAACCCGAAACGAAACCCGAAAAUCCGAACCUGAAAUAAUUAUUUCUCUUUUCAAUAUUUCAAAAUAUAUUAUAUUAAAUUUAAAAUUUCAAAAUACGAAGUCAAAUAUAAUAUCAAAUUUUCAUAUACAUAUUAUAUAUAAUAUAAAAUAAAUUCCGGUUCGGAUCGAAUUUGGGUCGGGUUCGGAUUCGGGUUGGGUAUAGUCAAAAUCUAUAUCCAUAUCCAUAUCCGUCGGAUUUUUAUUUUUGAUAUCCAUAUCUGAAACCAUAUCUAUUUAACAUCAGAUAAAUUAGUUGCAUUCGAAUUGAGAUUCGGAUAAAAUUUCGGGGU